rnacentral:lncRNA from 1 species
UUUUUUUUGGUAUGGUCGAAUCCUAUGGAGAUUGCCUACGUAUCAUGACCCCGCAUGAAUCAGACCGGGCGUAGUUCUGGGGAUAAUAAAUAACAAAAUAUUUUGGAAUUUUCAAAAUUUUCAUAAAAAGAAAAUGUUUUGAUUACAAUGACUCAAAACUAACAGACUUGAAAAGGAAAUCAACAGAAUCUAAUAGCAAGAUGACAAUACAGACUCAAGAACCAACUAACAGACUCUGACAAAAAGAAAAUACAGACUCAAAAAUAUACAGACAGACUCCAACAGAAAUAGACUAAAGUGAAAAUUAGAAAUACAUUAAUGCUCCUGGGGCCCGUGGGACAUCAUUCGGUCUCGCCGCGGGCCUAUAUGCGAGAUCCCCUUGCAGUCGCUCCAAAUCACUCAUUAUCUAGUGAACAAAAGUCAUCACUGCAGUGAAAAAGGUAGUACGAGUCAUGUCGCACGCUUGGCACUUCACGGUAAUGUAGUCAGCAAUGGCUCUGAUCCUCUCUCGGAUUUUGCCUUUUUCCUAAAGCAAUCGCCCUAUCUGCUGAUUCCUGGCUUCUAAUACAUGAGAGUCGUGAAGGUGUUGAUUUUGCAAUUGUUGUAUUCCUUCCUCCAUCUGAGCCAUUAAAUCAUAACAGUGUUCCAUGUUAGCUUUGAAGUCUUUGGCCUGCUUGGCUGCCUCAUUCUCAAGAGUAGUUACCUUUCUUCUCAGGCUGGUGAUUGUCCCUUCAUACUUUCUCUUUAUUUGUUGCACAAACUAUGUCCGACCUUUUGCAUUUUCCACUAAUUGAGCUCGCGCUUUUGCUAGACUAGCCUCAGACUUUUCUAAGUCAUCUCGACACUCAAGGGCUUUCUUUUUCAAACUGCUUAUAAGCCUUUCAACCGCUCGGCUUCUUUCCGGGUUUCUAGCAACUAUUUUUAUCUUCCGGAUUUGAGCUUUGAGGGCUUCAUUUUCUUGAGUUAGCUUUUUCUUUUCUCCUUCAUCCGCGACGGCUUGCAAACCAUUUUCAAACUAAAGGUCCAUGACUUGUCUUUCCAACUGGCUUAUUCUAGCCCUGUAGCUUGCUUCUCUUGCCAACCAGCCACACUGCUCUUGCGAGUCAUUGGUGAAUUGCUGAACAUGAGCUCUCUUAGCAGGUCUCUCCGGAAUCUGGAACCUUUUACCGAACCAAAUAAUGUACUUGGGGUCUACUUUACUCUAGCUAGAUCCCGCACCAUAGUCUUAGGUUCAAGAAAUCUACAUUCAUUCCACACCUGGCGAAUUCUCCCUUCUGGAAAUACGGCUUUUGGGCCCAAUUCAAUGACAUGUUUACUCAAAUCUUCAUCAUGGGGAAUGGUUUGAAAUCUCCCCAGUUGGCGCAAAACCAUGUGGGGGCAUACGGCUGGAUGCUCCGGAUGCCCAUCAAGAGGAGAUAACACACUUCAGCUAACAUGUAUACUACUUCGGUGACAGGAAGCCAUCUGAAUGCCCACUCAAUUUUACCGGCGGUCAAGGAGCUCAAAUGUUCAAACCAAGCUUCAGUACCCUCGGGGAAUUCAAUACCCACUACUCGGCUUUCAAAUUCUUCAAUGCAACUCAAACCGGUCAUACCGUAAUUCAUAUACCCAACCCAGUGGCAGAGAUGUUCCUGCAUCCAUAAUUAUAGUAACAGAUUGCAGCCUUGGAAGAACUUUCCUCCUUCCCGACAGAUAGUCAAGUCUCGGUAGAUUUCAGAUAAGAUCAGGGGAACCACAGUGUUGUUGGCUUUCUUGAUUGCAACAAUGAUCAUUCCUACGAGACCUACCUCUAUAUUACCAUCUUUUCACGGGCAGAACACAACACCUAAGAAUGAUACUAUAAAAGCCAAACCCCGCCUUGCCUCCCAUUUGUCUUUAUUCCCGGCAUGGGUCAGACCAGUGUUCGGCUCUUCAAAACCUCGGGGGUUACCAUAGCGCUGGUACAAGAACAGGAGAGUGCAAAAACCUUCGGAUAAAUUUCCAUCCUGGAUACCCCGACUAAUACCUAACAAAUCCAGAAAUCUAUAGGGAGAUACCAGUCUUGGUGACACUGGAUAUCGACUUCUAAGGUUUCCAUUAAGGCCCGCAUAACCCGCAACUUCCUCCAGCGUGGGUGUGAGCUCAAAGUUAGAGAAACGGAACACAUUGCGAGUUGGGUCCCAAAAAGGUACUAAUGCUUCAAUUAUGUCCAACCUUGGCUUGAUGUUCAAUAGUCUGAUGAGACCUCCCAAAACCUUUACCACGGUUUCUCUACUGCUUUUUCCUAGAUCAUUCCACCACUUGUGGAGCUGUAAGGGGAUCUCUUUAAGGACUAUGAAGGGUUCAAUUUCAUUUGUGCUCAUCUUGCACAUUUAUUUAGGUGGUUUAAUAACUUAAUUUGACCCCAAAAACAAAUAAUACCAUUUUUCAAAAUUUCACAUAAAAAAUAAAACCCGAUUUUUGCAGAUAUGGCCUUUAAGCACUUCGGGGAAGAAGAUUUUAAGGCUGUGCCUGCUAACCGGUCAAAAAAUAAAAAAAAUAAACAAAAGUGGUUGUUCUUGCAAAAACAGCCUUCCGGCGCCCUUUUGGGGACAUUCAGCUUAUUUUAAACAAGAAUGGCAUCACCCUUCUUAUUUGUGACAAAAAUAAAAUUUUGUUGUUUUUGGGCUAUUUUUGCAAAAGGGAAGUUGGACCCGAUGGGGGUUGCCUACGUAUCCCACAUCCAGUGAGAAUCAAACUGGCGUAGCUCGGGCAGAUUUGACAAAAAUGGAAACUAAUUAAUUUUAAAGACAAAACUUUCUUCUUUGUUUUUUCAAAAAUUUUGGCAGAGUUUCGGUAUAUUUUGGACACCGAUUUUGGAAACAAGUAACUACCUCUCUGAGACUUCACACUGUUAUUUUAUUUUCCCAAUUUCUUCUAUUAUCCACAAGUCGGUCAACACGCCAAUCCGUGCACAAGUAGCACGUAGGAUGCAUCAGGAUGGUCUUUUCAUUUCGGGUACGCCUGUCCUAGACAGACUCAACCCCUGUGUUGAGUCUCCUAAGUCAAAUGCACGUGAUGCAAACAAACGUUCCUACUAGGGAUCCGGCAUGAGGUUUUGUUAUACUAGGUUUACAACCUGGGUUAAUUGUUCUAGACCUGGCUUACCCGAGCGGACAACUCGAGCCGAGGGGGGGCAGCGUACCUAGAAUACAAAAGCUUCACCGGCUUAGCAACUUAUCCGAACCUCGUUAUAAAAUGGGAUAAGACUCUAGACAGAAGAGAAGUCACACGAAGUGCACCCUUCUCCAUGAUUUAGAAGACUUAGAGAGAGGAAGGGUUUCGUAGCAGUUUAUAUACAGUUCACAGAAUAUCAAAGCGGUAAAAGCAUUUAGCACAUUAUGCUCAAAUAUGCGGAAAAAUCAGAUAACAGAUAAAGCCAAUCAUAACAGUUAUUCUAAGCUCGAAUUCUUGAACCCUGACCCAGAGAUUCUGGGUUCGAUCCUCAGCAGAGUCGCCAGAGCUGUCACACUUCCUUUUUUACACGCCCGAGGGUAUAUAUAGAGAGUUUUUCCAAUUAAAGUGACAUUAUUCGAAUGGGAUUAUUUAUUUAUUUUAUGCCACUUAGGAUGGUUUGUUUUCUGGUGACCCAAGUCACCGGUUUAUUUAAAAUCCCAAAUCGAGGAAAUUCGACUUUCCUUUUGAAGUCUGCGAACCAGAAAUUCUAAGUAAGGAAUUUUGUUAACCCAGGAGAAGGUGUUAGGCAUUCUCGAGUUACGUGGUUCUAGCAUGGUCGCUUAAACCAUUAUAAUUGACAUAUUAUCUGAUUUUAAUACAUAUUUUAGCCUAUGGUACAAUUUUAAAUUAUUAACUGCUUUUAAUAAAUUUUAAAGAAGAUUUAACGUCGUCUAAAAUAUGUCCUUGGACUGCGCCACAUGAAAUGCACCCGCAAUCCGAAACACAUUUUAUUCGACGUUAUUAAGAUUUGGAUUUGGGUCACAUGAAAUGUGCACCCGAGUUUAGGAAGGUAAUAUUAUUAAAACACGCACCUAAAGCAACUACACAUUUUUUACUUUGCUAGGGCCAUGGAAAUAUUCUAGAUGGCGCGCCUCAAAUUCUAAGGGUUUUAAAAAAAUAAUUUAACCGAGGACCACGCAUUUGGGAUUUUAUUUGGCGCGGCGCACCUCAAUUCCAUUUUUGAAAGGGUAUUUAAACUAACACUAGAGGGCCACAAUCUAUUUGUGCUAUUAAAUAUGGCUCACCUCAAUUAUUAAGGAACUUGGUCAAUUGAUUAGAGGACAUGCGGAAUUUCCAAUCGUUAAUGAGAAAAUUUAAACUCGGAAUAGGUCAUGAAUCCAUUGUUCCCCGGGGCCAUUUCGUCAAUAAUCAAGAGACCAAGAAUAGGCUCUUACGUGAAGUCCAAAACUAGGAGUACCCAGUAAAGAAAACUCGGCACACAUGGGCCGACAUUAUAGCCCAAGUCAUUGUCUCAAAUACCAAUCGACGCAGGAAGCCCAAUUGUAAUGAGAAAUUUAAAGUUUGGACAAAACAACUACUAAUCAACAUGCUAUUCCGUCAAUUACAAUCAUCCAACUGAACUUCACAAAGAGCAGUUUUUAAAAAAAACUUCAUACAGACGCUAGAUUCUGAUCUUACACACUAGUCCACUUAAGAAAACUUCAUGGUUUCAACAAAAAUAAAUGUAAAAAAGAAAAAACUAGACUAGGCCAAGGCACUCCCAGCACAAAACCAAGAUUGACUUUCAUUUGAGACUCUCAUUGAACAAAUCAAUACACGAACAAAAGUGAAAAUGUUGACACAAAACUCUUGAAAUUGCGAAACUAUACUUCAGGCCAUAAGAAAACAGGUUUGAAAAACUAGAUGGAAAAACAGAAUAUGAACCAAUUAUGUUGGACUUAAAAAAAAUGGACUAAUGCCUUUGAAACAUGGCCAAGCCCAAGCAAUUUCAGCUACAACCAAGACCCUAUUCCCUAAUCAAAUGAUUCAUUUAAAAAAAAGUCCCAACAGUCCUGAAUUAUUACACUUAAAAAGGUUCGAAUCCAAACUAAAAAUGAAAUACAACAACAAUGAUGAAUUACUACACAUAAUGAUUAAACUGAUGAGCAUAUGAAGAAACUAAGAAAGAUCCAGCAAUCAUUUGAGAAAACAUGUAGCAUCCAUCAAUUCUCUUCAAGUUUGGUCAUGUGACAUUCAUCUUGCAUUUCAUACAAUAUUCAGGGGUCAAUACAUACAUGGAAAGCAAAGUAAGAGAAAAGGAAGAGGAUCAGCACAGCAAAGCAGUAUCAGCAACAGAAAUAACUAGUGGAAACAGUCUUUAAACCAAACUUUGAACCAGCCAAGGUAACAAAUGAAAUGUAGCAAACCAAAGAACAACCCAAACUUUGAACCGAACUUUGAAAACCAACCAAACUCAGAUUAUUUUAGCUCAAGAAAGAUUAGAAAUCAUCUUCAGAGAUUGAAAACUUAAGAAAUCAUAAAAGGAACUCAAUGAAACAGUAAAAAAAUUCAAUUUUUCAGCCGUUUAUGAUUUUUUUCAGAAUUUUUAUCUCUUGAAGUUCUCCCCUUUAAUGAAUGGAGAAUGAGCUUAUAUAGGAAUGUCUAGGGAAGCCUAAUGCAACUAGCCAAUUCCCCAUUUACCCUCCCUUCCUUAGUUGUUUUUUAACCCUUCUAACCCUCUUUCAAAAAUAUCUCACACUUCAACUCUUAUCCUAUUCUUUAGAACCUUCUAUUCUAACAGAAUUUGAUUCCCUCACACCCUAAAAUCCCUAAAUUGACCUCUGACCAACUAGUUAUUACAACCCCUGCCCCUUCCUUUGAGACCCCUCUAAGUUUCUAGACUUACAAUUAACCCCUUUAUAGAUCCAUGAAGAAUGACAAACAGGACUACUCAAACAUAAAGGGCUUCAAUCAGAUCAAAAUAAACUCUCAAAAACUCAGAAAACUUUGACAAUUUCAAAAGUUGAAAAUGAUCUUGCCAUGAACCAAACACAACACAAACUUCACAGAAUUGCUAAGCCAAUUAAUACAAGCUCACAACAUUUUAACAGAAAUAAAAUCCGCCAAACCUAUUCCAAUAAAACUAAACAUGAUUUAAACAGCUUUAAACAUCCAAAUUAACUGAAACAAAUACUUGAAAUUUCAAUGACUACUGGCUUAACAGAAAUAAUCUGAAGAAGAAAAUCUCGUUGAAUUGGAACCAAUGGCGGGGGCUAUCUCGAAAUGACCGAAAAUUGAGAAUAAUCAUUUGUUCUUUGACAAGAACAACUAAUUAGCCUUUAUUUCCAGCUAAUUCUUGCAAAUCACUCGGAGACUUUGUGGAUUCAAAACUUGGGGUCAGUACCGAGGUUUUUUCUAGGGUUUAGCCAUGAAGUUACACUGAACGGAAGCCGUGGAUAGGGGAAUUAGAGUUCUGAGUGAUUUGGGGAAAAUUAGGUUUUAGGUCUGAUUUUCGAUCCAAUAUUCGAGCCAAACUAGGGGGAUUCGAGGGACAUGAUUUAAGUAUUUGAGAAGAGGAGGUAAUGAGGAUUCCAAGGUGUAUUUUUGGUGGUAUUUGGAGGUGGCGUCGCCACCCUAAGGGGCGUGGGAAUUGUGGCGGCGGAUUUAGGGUUUCAAUUCUCUAAUGAAGGGGAGUGUGAGAGAGGCGAUAAAAGGUGGGGGUGGGCUUUGUUCGGACAGUUAUAUAACACAUGAUCCCCACUUCGCAGCCGUCUGAUGAAACAACAUCGACAGUUGAGAUCGAGACUUAACAAAACGGGGCUGUUUGGAUGGGGGAGUGUUGGACCGGUUUACAGACGGGUUUGGGCUUGAUUUUACCCGGGUUUAAGGCAAAAUUGUUUGGGCUUGGGAAAUUUAAUCUGAAAUGGCCCAAAAAAUGGCCUCAUUAUUAAAGGCUUUUCUUCCUUCUCUUUUUUUUUUAUUUUCAAAUUUAUUAAUUACAAAAUUAAACAAAAACAAAAAUCUGAUUUAAAUUCUACAACUAAAUUCAUAAACUAAUUACUUCCCAAAAAUUAAUUAGGUCCUAAAUUAAGAGAAAGCUAAAAAAUUCGAAAAUUAAAAAGUUAAAAAUGCAAAAUGAAUUAUUUUUGUCAUUUUCUUUAAAUUUUUAUAACAUUAAUUAACUAAUUAGCCUAAAAAUAUAAAAUAGGACCCUAAAUGCAAAUGCAACAUAUUUUUGUAUUUUUAUGCAUUAAAUAAAUUAAGCAUGCACACAAAAAUACAAAUAAACACAAAAAUCAUGCAAUAAUUCCUAAAGAUCAAAUAAUUAAAAGAAAAAUCCUGAUUUUGGGAAUUUUGUAGGAGUAAUUCAUGCGAGGAAAAAAUAUAACAGUUUUCAAUGGAGGACAGAAAGUCACACCUGCUAAGAAGUUCAACAUGGAAACAAAGAAGGGAACUCAGUUUUGCAACUAUUGCAGGAAGCAAAAUCAUACCAUUGAAAACUGUUAUAGAUUGAUUGGUUUUCCCUCAUAUUUUAAGUUUAUCAAAUCCAAAAGAUUCAAUGGAGCAAAGAGCAAUGCAACAGUUUCCAUGAAAACAUCAGAUACUCAGCCAAAUAGUGCAAGAGACCAACCUAUGACACAAGAUCAGUUUCACAGCCUUUACCAGUUGCUUUAACAAGUGAAAGUUGGUUCUCAAAUUGAGCAGACAGAUGAGGAGACAGUGUCUGCUAAUUGUGUUGGUAUACAUCAUUCCUCUUACUCUUCCAAAACAUAUAUCAGUGUUUCUCUUCAAUCUAUUUCUUGGAUUUUAGAUUCAGGUGCUUCUGAGCACAUGACUUCUGAUUUACAGCUUCUAUUUAAUGUUAAAAUCCUUCCUAAUCCAGUCUAUGUAAAGCUACCUAAUUCGGCUAAAGUGUUGGUUUAUCAGGCAGGAUCAGUAACCAUUCUACCUAGAUUUACCCUUCAUCAUAUUUUGUUUGUGCCAUGUUUUAAUUACAACUUAUUAUCCGUACACAAGUUGUGUUUGCAAUUUCAUUCACUUCUGAUCUUUUCCUCUUUUGUUGCAAAAUUGCAGGCCUCUUCACUGAAGAGGCCAGUGGUACUUGGUAAAGUCACUAGAAGGAUCUAUGUCUUCAAUUCAGUCCACUCAAGCCAAGUUGGUCCAGCCAAGUUUCUCAAGCCUAGAGUAGUUAUGUCUAAUUUAAUGAAGGUUUUUAGCCAUUCUGUUUGUAGUCAAAAGUCUAGUAGAGCAGUUUCCAAUUCUAGCACAUGUUUGGCAUCUAUUCCUAAAGAUGUAAGUUUAUGGCAUAAUAGACUGGGACGUAUGCCCUUUUCUAAUAUGAAAUGCAUCUCUUCUAUUUCUUAUUCUUCUUCUCCUUCUAAUUUUCAGCCUUGUGGUAUUUGUGCUAAAGCUAGGCAAGUCAAAUUACCUUUCCCCUCUAGUUCUAUAACAACUAAACAGAUUUUUGAUCUUAUUCAUGUCGACACUUGGGGACCUUACAAAACACACACUUAUGAUGGUUACAGAUACUUUCUUACUAUGGUGGAUGAUUAUAGUAGAGGCACAUAGACAUUUCUUCUCAAAACUAAGUCUAAUGCUUCCACAAUGCUCAAACAAUUCUUAGCCAUAACUGAGAGACAGUUUCACACCAAAUUAAAGGUUAUAAGAUCAGAUAAUGCCCUUGAGUUGGGAUCUAGUCCCAGUACCUCACAGUUCUUUGCUUCCCAAGGUAUUCUUCAUCAAACAACUUGUGUUUCCUCUCCCUAACAAAAUGGGGUUGUUGAGAGGAAGCACAGAUAUUUACUUGAAACAUGCAGGGCAUUACUUUUUCAAUCUAACCUUCCAGUCAAGUUUUGUGGGGAUUGCUUGUUAACAACAACCUUUUUAAUUAACAGAUUUCCCUUUACGGUUCUAAAGAUGAAGACCCCUUAUGAAGUCUUAUUUGGUCAACCUACUAACUAUGGUACAUUAAGAGCCUUUGGUUUCUUAUGCUAUGCUUCAACACUACCUACACACAGAUCCAAGCUAGAGCCUAGAUCAGUUAAGUGUGUGUUUUUGGGGUAUCCUUCUGGCAAGAAGAGAUAUAAGCUUCUUGAUAUACAAACUCACCAGGUAUUUGUUUCAAGGGAUGUUAUUUUCCAUGAACACAUCUUUUCCUAUACCUCUAUCAAGCCCCUGUCACCUAUAUUUCCAGUCAAACUAUCUUCCCAUUCUAUUGACACUCCUGAUCAAGCAUCACCUACACCUCCCUGCUCUAUACCUUCCCCAUCUCUAAUACCUAGACCUAUUUCUUCUAGAAUUUCCUCUUCACCACCAUCCCCUCUUCAUUCUACUCCUUUACCCUUUACUUCUCCCAUUUCUACUUCACCUACUUCAGCCUAUAACUCUCCCGCUUCCCUACUUCCUCCUGCUCAAUCUGAUUCAUCCCUAUUUCCCACCACUCUACCUUCUCAACCUGCUCUCAGAAGAUCCACCAGAGAACAUCAUUUACCCUCUUAUUUGGAUGACUACAUCGUCAAUUCAGUUGUUUAACUAAUCUGACUACCCACUAUUUUGCGUCCCCUGUGUCUCCUUCUAUCUUAUCUUUUUCUGCCCUAUCUUCCACCAACCAAAAUAUCCUAAACACCACUUCCCAUAUUGAACCUACCUCAUUUUCCCAAGCUUCCCUUCAUCCUGGUUGGCAAGAAGCCAUGAACUAAGAACUUGUAGCUUUAGAGGAAACAAAACUUGGGAUGUUGUGCAACUACCUUAGGAUAGGAAAGCCUUGCCAUGUAAGUGGGUUUACAAGGUGAAAUAUAAGCAGGAUGGUUCAAUAGAGAGGUUUAAAGCUCGGUUAGUCAUCAGGGGUGAUAUACAAAGGGAAGGGAUUGAUUUCAAUGAGGCCUACUCCCCAGUUGUUAAGAUGACAACCAUCAGAUGUUUAUUUACAGUGGCAGUUAAGAAGUAGUGGGGUAUUUACCAAUUGGACGUCAACAAUGCUUUCCUCCAUGGUGAUUUACAGGAGGAAGUUUACAUGAAUUUUCCAGCUGGACUUACCCCUCCGACCCCUGCUCAUGUUUGCAAACCGCGCAAAUCUCUCUAUGGUUUGCAUCAAGCCUCUAGGUAGUGGUAUGCCAGGCUUACUGUUGCUCUAAAUUUCAAAGGUUACUCUCAUUCACUCAACGAUUACUCGCUCUUUUUCAAGAAAUCAUCAGGCAACACUGCCAUCAUUGUUGUCUAUGUCGAUGACAUAUUACUAACAGGAGAUGGCCCUACAGAACUAAAUUCUCUUAAGGUGUUUCUAGACUCUGAGUUCAAACUCAAGGAUUUUGGUCAAGCACAUUAUUUUUUGGGUAUUGAAAUCAUCAGGGAAACACAAGGAAUCAUAUUAACUCAAAGUAAAUUUACCUUGGAUCUUCUUUUUGAAUUUGGCUGUUUGGACUCCAAACCAGCUUCUUCUCCUCUUGAUCCUUGUUGCCACUUACGUAUGAAUGAAGGUGAUCUCCUACCAGAUCCUUUCAUCUAUCACAAACUUUUGGGCAAACUCAAUUAUUUAACUCACACCCGUCCUGAUUUGUCAUUUGUUGUGCAGCACCUUAGUCAAUUCAUGAAAUCGCCUCGUCUUCCUCAUUUUGAUGUUGUUUUAUGUUGUUUACGUUACCUUCUUUUGGACCCUAGUUUAGGGCUUUUUCUCUCAUCUAAUCCCUUCUUCAAGCUUGUUGCUUUUUGUGACUCCGAUUGGGGCCGAUGUACGGACACUCGUCGAUCUAUCAGUGGCUAUUACAUUUCCCUUGGUUCUUCUCCCAUUUAUUGGAAGUUCAAGAAGCAAUAUUUGGUGUCCCUUUCCUCCGCCGAGGCAGAGUACCGUUCUAUGCGCCGAAUCGUCGCAGAACUCACAUGGCUUCUCCGUCUUCUUGAAGACCUUUCUCUUACUCCUUAUAUUCAUGUACCUCUUCACUCUAACAGUCAAGCUGCUAUCCACAUUGCCAAAAAUCCAGUCUUUCACGAACGCACCAAGCAUGUCAACCUUGACUGUCACUUUGUGCGAUAGCAAUACCUUGCUGGUCUCAUCUCUUUAUCCUUUGUUCCCUCCUCUUCUCAGAUUGUUGAUGCUUUCAAAAAAAAACUUUCUGGUCCGAUCCACAAGACUGUUUAGGGCAAGUUGGGGGUUGUUUCACAUCCCUCCAACUUGAGGGGGGUGUUGGAAUCGAAGCUUCACAAAUUUCAGAACUUAAUGAUGAUUCCAUGAAGAAUUGGAAAGCAAAGAAAGUUGAAACUGUGAGGAAGAAGACGAACACAAACGAGGUGAAUGUCUUCUGUCCAAACAAAGCAGAUGUAUAAGAGAUUUGGGAUUUGGACUCUUUUCACAAUUGGGCUCCAGGUGUUCUUUGGGCUCAAAGUGCUUGUGCUGCUGAUUGUUGAUCUAUUUUUAUUGGGCCAAAAUUCGUCUGAAGCCUCUUGGGCCUGCUAUAGAAGAAGACAAGACAACGCGUGCAGAUUUCUUGGUUAUUGUAGAUAAAUUAUUCUUUUUGUUUCUAUCCAAUAACUUUGUUAUAGAAUAGUUAAUAGUCAUAGGCCAAGUGGCAUAGUUAGUUUAUUUGAAUAUAAGGACAAGUUCUGUACAAAUCUCAAUCAAUCAAAUAUACAGAAAAUUCUCCCAAUAAAAUCUUCAUUCUCUUAUUCUUCUAACAUAACAUUCAAUGAAAAUGAGACAAAUCUCUUGCAAAAGCUAAGCUAUCUCUAAAACGUUUAUAACCAGCUUUCUAGUUAAAAAGAAAAACAAUAACUAAAAUUUCUAUGUCCUCAAGAACACUUCAUCUAAAAUUGGCCCCAAAUAAUCUCCUCUAAUUGGAAAAAAUAUAAUCUUAAAUUCAUACUACAGUAGACCACUUGAAUCUAACAUCUGACCCUGUUGGGAUGCCCAAGAAAUUAGUUGGAUGGACCUCUUAAAUAGUUCAUUUAAUAUAGAGUUUAUAUAAUUAUGUGAAUUGACGGGGAUAAAAAAUUUUGGAAAUUAAUUAACCUUGCAGUGAAUUUACACGACAGUUGACGAUAAAUUUCAUCAUCCUUUGUGGGUCUUCUAGAAAUAUAAGGAGUUACCACUCCAUAAAUACACGUACUAUUAUCUACGAAUAGAUAGUCGUUCUGGACACGAAGAUGUGAAUAUAGGAAGAUGGUAGAUUAAUUUUUUGAGGUGAGCAACAGGGGUUGGAUUUUCUUUGGAAAUCUUAAGCAAAUUUUCAAUUAGAAUAUAUUUAUUUAGAGACAUUUAUCAGAGGUAAAAUCCUAGAUUCAAGAAUAGUAGUACAUGCACAUGAAUGCUAUCAAUAUUAGACUAGUUGAGAAAGAUAUUCUGUCCUUCAUUCAAACGCCUUAUUGUUUGACCAAAAAGUGUUAAGCUCUUUGUUAAACUAAUUAAUAAGAAAAUGAAGGAUAAAUCUUAGCCAAGAAUAAUUAACUCUAGAUGAAAGCAUGCUAAAUACGAUAACAGAAUAGAACCAUGCUUUUAAUUCUUUUUGGAGGUUAUAAAAGAUAGCAAACAUAAACGACAAGAUUACAUUCAUAAUGCAUUCUUUCGUAAUUUAAGAGCGAAGAAGAAAAAGAAGGAAUGCCAUUGACAGCUAAGGUAUCUAUCUUUAUUGAUUCAGCAAUGACGAUUACUGAAAUUUGCAACCAAGAUCUAGACUUUUCCUUUGUUGCCGUCAGAGGUCCUUUCCUAUUCUUCUGUCUCUCUUUCUUGGAGAAGAGAGAGCCCCCUUUUCUUGUUAUCUUUCCCCUAUUUAUAUACUCCAUCCGUUCUAGUUUAUGUCAACCUAUUUCCUUUUUGUUCUGUUCCAAAAAGAAUGAUCUCUUUCUAAAUUUGGAAACAAUUUAGCUUAAACUCCCAAUUCUACGCUUAGUGAAAAGCUUUUAUAACCACACAAAUACUCUGGACCCCUUUCUGACUUGUUUAGGACCACAAAUUCCAAAAAUAUUUAUUUUUUCUUAAACUUCGCGCCAAGUCAAACAAGUUCACAUAAAUUGGAACACAGGGAGUAGUAAUUAUUCCCUUUUAUCCAACGGUUCUUAGCUAGAGGGCCUUAGUCUGUUCAUUGUACGUUGGGUCGUUCCCCUUAGAUGUAACGACAUAUGCCUCACUGUAUAAGCUUUGAGAUAGUUCGAUCUCGAUCGCUGCCGAGAUGCUCAUUGUUAUGACGUCUUAUGAAUACAACCAUGGCUUAGUUGACCCCUCGCCAUUCCUUUUAAGGCUGAUCCACGCGUGGUCAGAUUUUGACCCAUACAGUUAGUCCCUCCGCCUAUUGAGGUCGCUUCUUGGCGAGCUCGAUUGGCGUACUCUGUUGACUUGAGAAGGAGAGAUCUCAAUGCUUUGUGCGAGAGACGAGCACCUCAUAGAGAGGAAGCGACGUGAAGUUUCGAGAAUUGCGUCAAACCGUUACAUCAGUUCGGAAUGUCAUUAAUGUUUCUCAUGCAUCAUUAUGGCACACGUUUCCUAUGCUUUGCAUCGUUUCCCGUGCCUUUUUAGUUUUCUGACUGGCGGUGCUUGGUUUUUCCUUUUAGGGCAUUUAUGUCCAUAUAAAUAGGGGAGAAUCCCUCAUUUGAAUGUUACGCUUCUUAAUCGUUCAAGAGAGAAGUUUUGCAACUCUUUUUCUCCAGUUUCCUAAAUUUCUAUUUUUGUUAGGAUUUGCUGUGGCCAUCACCUUUUUCCCCUUAUCAUUCUCAUUUCUUUUGUUCAAAGAGAAAAUGAAUAGUGCUUUUUCUAACUCCGAUAGAGCUGUCGGUGCUCCGAUGGCGGAAACUGAUGUACCUCUAAUCGAAGAGGGGGUGGAGAUAGUGGAGGAUGUGGGCUUUCCGACAAUGGAUGAGGUGGUCCCCCACCUGGGUAAGGCGAGGAAUAACUUUAAUAUCCCUACCGGAGACAAGCCGAAGCCCGUUCCUUCUACGAUGGGUGAUGCAGUGCUCACGGCAUUCAAAGCCAAACGGGGGAUUCCUGAUUAUAUUGAAAUGGUGUCGGUGGAUCGGGACAUAGUGCAUUUACAAUGCCCAGGCUAUUGCGUGUUUUAUGUGUAUCCCUUUAUCAUCGAGUAUACACUUCCCCUCCUUUCCUUGGUAGUGGAUUUCUACUGCUUCUAUGAGGUGUGCCCGGCUCAACUCUCUCCGUACGCGUACAAGCUUUUCCUUAUGCUUAUCAAGUAUGCGGAGCUGGUCGGCCGAGGAAUCUCUCUAGGGGACAUGCUUCACCUCUUCGCCCCCUAUUUUCUUCGGGGUAUCAUGAUUGACAUGCGUCACCGAGGAACCAAGAGUUUGGUGGUGAAAAUGGACGACAAGGCAAAUCUCCGCUUUUGGGAGAUCUUCUUCUACAUCCGAACAGAGCACAUCGUGUCGAACCCGGUGAGGUUUCCUGAGACAUGGAAUUUUGAUCGUAGGUUUUCUUUUUACUUUAUGCAAUUUCUCUUAAGAUGGUCAUCGGUCGUCUCCCUUUAAUGACCUUGCUGAGGGUUUGUUUAUGUUCUUGUAGCCAAGAGAGUACCUCCUCCACCAGUUGCUGAUAUUCGCGAGCGAGUGAGGACGAUUCUUCCCCAGACAAUGGGGAUUCGUGAAUGGGUGCCUUUCCACGAGAAGUUCGGGGCGCGAGCCUCUUGCUGGUGAGUUGGCUUGUUGUGGCCCGUUACUUUGUUAUUUGCUCCGUAUUUUCUUUUACCUUAUUACUGCUUGAUUAAAUCUCCUCAUUGGUAGGUCGGAGAGGGGUGAGAAGGACAAGGGCGCUUGCGCUCUCUUUUCGCCAGUCGGCUUCCUCUGUCCCGACCCAUUCGAAGGGCACAUGUGUAUGAGAGCACCCAAUAUGUGGUUUCACGGUAGACCAUGUCGACGACCGAGCAUGUUCGUUUGGAGGUUGCUCCCCCGGUCAGAUACUCUGGUUCUUGUCGUCCGUUCAACGGGCGAGCCUUCUUGCAAUAGUAACGAGGAGGCACCGUAAAAAAGGCGAAGGUUGUCAGAGGGGGCAUCUUUGGUUAAGACGCCCUCGAGGGGCGACCCUACUUUGGCAGUAUCUGGAGCUGGCGGUGACGCUGGUCGGGGUGUGGAGGCGAUGCCUAUUCCGGUUGCAGAGGAGACCAUCGUGGCGGGGGGACAGAAUUUGGGGUCUGCCGCGACUGUUUCGAGCGGCCCAUCAUCAUCCCGAGAGACCCGCUCCCCUUUUUCGGCAAAUGAGAUGGGGAAUGCCUUGGUGAUAGAUGAUUAUGAGUCGGAUUCCGACAUCGACCCUGAGGAUAUGAGGAUGUUCGAGGAAGGCUUUACUAGGGUCAAUGUAAGGGCGGAAGGUCCUUCUCGUGUGCUCGAGAUUCCAUCUGAUUUUAAUUUUUUGGAGGACACAGUGGAGUUGGUACCUCAAUUCGGCCUUCUAUGUUCUUCCGCCGAAAGUGAGUCUCUUCGGGAGAUCAAUGACUCUGCUUUGUCACAAGUUGUGGCCGGGAUGGCCUUGAGGGUGAGUUUCUUUUUGCCAUUUUCAUUAUUUUGUGCUAUUUUGCCUCCGUUGAUGUCUCCCCUCUUUUUUUUUUCUGCUCCUUGUUUGCAGACUUAAAUGCUGGAGACUGAGAGUGCUCGCAGGGCUGAGAUUAGCGUCAAAGUCUUUUUGAAAAUGGCCGUAAAGUAUCGCUGGUACCGUGACAAGUGCCGUGAAAUGCAUGCGCAGCUUAGGGCGGGUGGUAACACUCAGUCCGUUAGGGAAGAAUUGGAGAAAAGGGACGAGGAACUGAUGUGGUCUAUCCACUGAUGCAGCGAGCUCGAGGAGUUACUCCAUGCCAAAGAUGAGGAGCUCGAAGUGGGAAAAAGGGUUGUGGUGGAGUGUGAAGACCUUCAGGUGAAGGUACUGUCUUUGCAAGGCGAGCUUUAACAAAACGCCACCAGGGUCAUCGAUUUGAGUGCAGAAUGGACGGAGAAGGUGGCCGAACUAGAAAAGAAGGUGACCGAGUUGGAAGGAGCCGAGGGGGCUCAGGUGUCGGCUAUAGCGAGGGCGGGGAUGCUAGAAGACACUAUCCACGUCCUCAGGUCUGAGCAGGAAUCUGAGAGGGAAACGUCCACACUGAUGGAGUUGCGGCUCGAGGAGCGCAUUGGUGAAAUUUAUUGGGAAGCUUCAAAGCUAGGAGACCGGGUCGUGUCUCUUGAGGCCGAGAAGGCCAACUGUUGGCCCAGGCUAUCCCUCAAGAGUCUUCAUCUGCUACUGUUCUCUGCCACUUGUACGAGAUAUGGGUCCAUGUUGAGGCCCAACGAGAUAUAUACAAGGGUUUGUGGGAAGCGGGGAGUGUUCCUGAAGCCGCUUUCGAAGAUUCUCGAGUGAAGGCACGCGAGGCUCGUCUUGCCUGCGGCUACGACCCUGCGACACCGGAGGCUGAUGAGGAUGUUGAUAUGGAAGAUGGACUUCCUUCCAACGACGACACUGGGGAGAAUGGUGGUGGAGAUGAUGCCGAGUGAAAAAGAUUUCUUACAGCUUUUGUACUUAGUUUUUUUUUCUUGUUUGUUUUCAUCUUUUUCUUCGGGGCCCGCUUUUGGCCUUUGUAAGGCGCAGAUGUUGCUUAUGUACAUUUUAUGAAUAAAAUAGUCGCUUUGCCUUGGGUUAUGGACCUUUUGACCUUCUUUCUCCCUCCUCCCCCCCCCCCUUUUUUGAAAAAGAUCUUUAGACUUCCCCGCAUUGAGUCCCUGAUUUUUACUCGGGGUUGGAAUGAGGUCAAGCUUGGAGCGAUUCGAGCAAGAUUGAAUGUGAAGUAAUUCGAGCAAGGUCGAAUGUAAAUUAAUUCGAGCGAGGUCGAAUGUAAAGUAAUUUGAGCUAGGUCGAAUGUAAAGUAAUUUGAGCGAGGUCGAAUGUAAAGUAAUUCGAACGAGGUCGAAUGUGGAGUAAUUCGAGCGAGGUCGAAUGUAAAGUAAUUCGAGUUAGGUCGAAUGUAAAAUAAUUCGAUCGAGGUCGAAUGUAAAAUAAUUCAAGCGAGGUCAAAUAUAAAAUAAUUCUAGCGAGGUCGAAUGUAAAGUAAUUCGAACGAGGUCGAAUGUAAAGUAUAAAAUGACUUGGUAGGGUUGUGCGAAGAUGUUGCUUCGUUUAUUUCAUUUGAUGGAGAAUACUACAUGUUUCUGCUUGUUUCAUUCAUACAUUGGAGAAGUUCUACUCUACCUAUCCCCUUCAUCGUUCGGCCUGGAGAAGUAGUCGAUAGGUGGGGCAAUGAGUUUCACUCGAAUUUGGUUCGCUUGAUCCGAGUGAACUCGAAUCUUGUUUUGUGAGUUCGAAUGAAGUCGCUAUUGAUCUGCAAAUUCAAGUGAGGUCGACUUGUGAUUUGCCAUUUUGGGCGAAAUCAGUUUUGACUUAUAUAUUCGAACGAGAUCGAAUUUUGCUUUCACCGAGCAAUGGCCGUAAGGAUGUUAAGUCGAGCGAGGUCAACUUCUGAUUUGCCAUUUUGGGCGAAAUCAGUUUUGACUUAUAUAUUCGAGCGAGGUCGAAUUUUACUUUCGUCUGGAGAUGGCCGUAACGAUGUUAAGUCGAGCGAGGUCGAAUAUGACCCAUUUGGCGAUUGCCGAUGGCUGUAAGGGUAUUAAUUCGUGCGAGGUCGGAUUAUAACCCAUUUGGUAAUGGCCGAUGGCCGUAAGGGUGUUAGUUCGAGCAAGGUCGAAUUGUAACCCAUUCGGCGAGGGCCGAUGGCUGUAAGGGUGUUAAUUCAUGUGAGGUCGAACUAUAACCCAUUUGGCGAUGGCCAAUUAUGGCCGUAAGGAUGUUAAUUCGAGCAAAGUCAAAUUGUAACCCAUUCAGCGAGGGCUGAUGGCCGAAUUAUAACCCAUUUGGCGAUGGCCAAUGGCCGUAAGGGAGUUAAUUCUAGUGAAGUCGAAUUGUAACCCAUUUGGAAUUCAAGCGUAGUCGAAUUUCCUUUUUACUUGGCGAUGGCGCAUGCUUGCCUGUUGCAUUACUUUUAUUGGAUAACAUCACUCAUUGUUGCAUUGUUUAUGCGUGCGUUGGGGUGAGUUCUUAUUUGUUUACUUUUGCUUUUACUGGUUUGUCUACCGAUGUAGUUUGUUGGUGAUCACCAAAUCUCAAUAGAAGUCUAAUGGAAGUUGGAAUGAGAAUAAAUUUGUCUUUGGUUAAAAAAGCCAAGAAGAAGAAGGCCUCACGAUUUCUUUCCGGCAAGGUUCCGAUUUAAAGUGGCAAUCUUAUUCCGGUUUUUUUAUUAUAAAAAAGAGAGAGAGUACCCUCACGUGCUUAUAAUUAGUGUAGCGCACACUCUUUGCCAUAUCACCAGCAUGUGCCUAAUAAAUAUACUUAGGCUUAAGUUCAUGUGUUCAAUAAGUACAAGUGUCUAAAUAAAAACUCAAACAAGUUCAAGGGCCGCAUAUGCACUCAGCCUAAUUAUUAAACUGAGGUUAAGAUUAAAGUCAUGUUAAUGCUUAAAUUUUCUUAACAAAUUGAAAUUUCUCUAGAGAGGACGUGUCACAUUAUUAAAUCAUGUUAAAUACAUUAAAGCAUAUAUAUGUAAAAUCCAAACAUUAUAAUAAGAAGAACUUAUAAGCACCAAAAAUUACUAAGGUUGGAGGCCUUCAUGGAAUUGAGAUUUUGGUGGGCUCGAAAAGUAAUUCGGAAAUGCGACUUUUAAUCUCAGAAUUUUGAAUUCCAUGUCCAUCUCCAUGUUGGUAUAUGCACUGUGCAGUUCUUGUAACAUUUACUGCACAUCCAAUCAAUGUUUCAGAAAAUAACGAGUUUUCAUGUAGACCAGUGUUUAUCAGUUUCCACAUCUCCUUUAUCAAAUGAUUAAUGUGUUCUCUUGCCUCUUCUUCAGAAGCAUCAUUUUCGUUCAUGUAACAUUGAAUUGACUUGGGAACAUCACCUCUAUUCAUUUCAUCCUGAAGUAAGAGGAAAAAAAUUUCAUUAAUUUAAAACUAUAAUAAUCUUUUAUACAAUCAGCUCAAUUACAACUUUCUAUAGCAAAAAUAAUUAAUAAGUAAAAAAUGGUGAGUGAAAGUGAAAGUCGUCUAUGUACACCAAAGAAAAACAUUUGAUUACAAACUUAAAUUACGUACGUUCAGAAAUAAUCAAAGAUAAGGUUGAGAAACAUAAUGAUGAUGUCCCUAAAUCAUCGGCAAGACGAAUAAUUAUAGAACAGUGACGAAUUAUGUCAGGAUAUUUGCUUAAGGAUUCCAAUGCCUCUUUCGUAAUUGGGUUGGUGACAAAGAUGAAUGCAUGGACUAAAUACAUAGGGGCUCCAAUUGAAAUCCAUGCAAUAUCCAUGUAUUCUUUCAGAGUUGGAUUAUAUCCAUUGAAGUGCCACUUUGCUUCUUGAAAGGAAGCUUUGCAAUAAUCUGCCCACUAAUAACGUUGUUCCAAAUAAACAUAUUAAUGGUGAUGGGGAGGAAGAGAACAGAAGAAUGAAUAAAUUAAUUUAGAAAUUCAAAGUUAAGCUUAAUUACUGAUUUUUUAAGGUAGGGUAUAACGUUGAUCCCUUGCUCUUUGAGAACGUUAUAUGCAAUGUCAGCGACAGUGUUGAAGAGUACAAGGUAACAUACUUUCAUAUAGCCUGGAAGAUAGUCAAUCGCUUUUAGCUCCAUUAGAUCUGGAAAAUUAUUAUCGUCAGAAGACAUAUUCACUUGACAAUUAGUUUGAUGACGAGAACGGCAAUAUACAGAAGUAAUAAAGGGGAAGUACAUAUCCUACUAAAUAAAUUUAUAUUCUACAAAAUUGAAGAUAUGUGCGUGAUCGAUGAAUUCAAAGCAGAAAAGCCAAAUAAUCAUUUCUUGAAAAUUUGAAGGUAAUAUACUCAUCAUUUAUUCAUUAUUUGAGACUGACAAUCUAAAAUUAUAAGAUUGUACCUUUAUACUAAGGCGUGUGCGCGUUCAUUGUCACAAAGUACGUAGUAGUGGGGUGAUACUUUGUGUUCAAUGACUUAAACUUCUAGCUCUGCCUCAGAGAAAAUUAAUCUACUAUCCUUAGUUGCAUUAUACUAGAGCGGAUGUAAAUUAAAUGACUGAGAAAACACAAUGAUAAUUCUACAGGCAAAAAAAUUAGAGAUGUAAUUGCUUCCUUGAGGCUUGAAGUUAUAACUAACCUUUCAACAGCAUCAGUGAAGAGUUCCAACUCAUCAAGAGAGCCAUAGACAUCAUAAAUAUCAUCUAUGACUACAGCAACAGCAUUGAUCUUUGUAAGCAUUCUUCGGCAGUAACUGUAUUGAGGUUCAAAUAUUGUCCCCACUGUCCAAACGAAAGCUUCAACAAUUCUAUCCCUUGAAAAUGGCAACUUUUUUGCAAGGCAUGUACUCUUCCACCACUUAACAUAAAAAUCAAUGCAGCACGAGAAAUAUUAUCCAAAAGUCUUUUUCUAUUUGAUAGCUUACAAGUUGAAAUCUCUUUACCUGUAUGAUAAAACUUUUGCACUAUCAAUAUCACUUAUUAUGAACAGUUACUUAUAAUUAUAUUUUAACUGACCUAAUAAUCAGUGUAUAGAAGUUGGUCUAAAAACACGAGAAGAUAUUGGUCAAAUCUAAAAACAAUUGAUUUCUUUAUUCUUUUAUACUAUAUAUGGCAACAUACUAGCAAAUAGGCACACCCAUUUAACUAUAUAACUCUAUACUAAUACCGAAACAACAUUUAUAAAACAACUUCAAUGUAAAUCUAGACAACUCGGCCGUAUAAAUCUUAAGCCUAUUUGUUUUUAUUGUAAUUAAGAUGUGUGAAUCUAACUACAUAUUUGAUUGUUAAGGUGUUGUACUUAAAUCCGAACAACGAAUAAUUAAGAAUGAUCAUUUUCUCAUCAUUUAAAUGUACUACCAUUAUUUGAACACUAAUAAAUAUAAAACUACGAAAAUAAUACUCCCUCCGUUUCAUAUUAGAUGAGGUAGUUUGACUCGGCACGGAAUUUAAGAAAAAAGGAUAAGACUUUUAAAACUUGUGGUCUUAAAAGCUUAAGGGGUAAAAAGUUUUGUGGGGCCAUGAUAUUUGUGUGCCUAUAAAAGCAUCUCAUUAUGGGUAAAUGGGUAAAAUAAAAUAGUUUAAAGUUAAAUUAUUUCUAAAUUUAAAAAUGUGUCAUUUGUUUUGAAACGGUUUAAAAAGGAAAGUACCUCGUCUAAUAUGAAACGGAUGGAGUAUUAAUUAAAAUAUUAUAGAAAAGCUUAAUCUACAUGGUGUUGUAAAACUAUUUGUUUGAUGAAGAUAUAAAAACUAGUGGUGGUAACAACUAACAAUAGUGGUCGUCUAGUGAUGGUGACAAUUAUAAGGUGGUGGCUAGGGGUUGUUGGGGUUGGUGGAGGUGAUGACAUCCAUAUGGAGGUGAUUAUUAUUGGUGUGUGGCAGCGAGAGGCUGAUGGUAGAUGUGGUUGGUAGUGGAGGCUGACGGUAAAGGAGGUUAGAAGGUGGUGGUAACCGACAGUGGAGGUGGCUGCUUUAGUGGCGGUGGUGGCUGGUAGUGUGGCUGGGAGCGGCAGUAGUUGUGCGGUGGAGAUGGUGGUGGAGAUAUAUGAAUGAAGGUGGUUAGCGAUGGUUGUUGUAAGGUAGAGAACGAUAGUAGAGGUGACUGAUAAUAAUUGACAGUAUGGUUGUGCGUCGGAGGUUGGCGGAAAUGAUUGUGAUAGGUAGGGCACAGUGGCAAAAAGUCACAUUCACAGAAAUCUUUAAGUCAAUAACAUCUGACUAAUGUUAAUAUUAUUUACCACAUCUAAACGAUCUAGACCUACUAUGAGCAAUUAAGCGGUUACAAAUUAAAACAAGUAAAUAUACUUAAUGGGGCCGAGACAUGAAUAAUUAAGAUUUAUACCUUCAGAAAACAAACGGAGCCUUAUUAAUAUUUUCUUAAUUUUGGAUGUGGUUUCCAAAGUGUAAUGAAACUAUAUUGUAGUAAUGGUAAUUGGUCGCAAGUUUUAUGUGUUAAAUCACCAAAUAUAAAAGUUAACAUGAAUAGAGUUCAUCAAAUCCAUGAAAUUUUGAAGGUUCGGAUCUAGUUUUAUAUUUUAUACAUAUUUAAUGAAUUUUUUAAGACAAAUAUAAAGUUUAAAGACCAAAGUUAUUGGGUUCUGUCGAACCUGUAAUGUUAACACUGGCUCUCCCAGAACAUGAAAGAAAAAGGAAAUUAGUUUGGCCAAAAACAGUAUAUACCUUGAGAGAUAUGAAAACCAUGUUGUCUCAAGAGUCUAAAUUUCAAAGCUGUGGCAUAUAAUGAAUCUCCUGCGGAUGCAUUUAGAUAUAUGCUCCUCAAAAUUUGCAUGAUCUCUUCCUUGAAGUGAUAACUCACUCCAAGCCUUUGUAAAUUAUCAAUCAGCUCCAACUUCUCUAAUUCUUCUUGUGAUCCCUCAACCAUUAUCAUUAUGUUCUUCAUUUCCUUCUUCAGCUCGUUAAACCGCUUCAUAUACUUCUCUCCCUAUGUGGCAUAGUUACUAAUGAUCGGCUCGAAUAUUCGUGUAAACUUUAUGCAAUUAAGUAUUUAGUAACAAGAAUAACAGUAAAAGAAUGAGUGCUAAAAAAACGUAACUUACCACAUAAUCAUUGUGUAUGGACUGAAGAUAUUCAAAAUCCCACAAGGUAGGUCCGUAAUUCCCUGAACGUCUAGUGAGAUUGUGAUCUGAAGAUGAAAUAGUAGAAUACUGAUUAAGUGGUGGUUCAGGUUUCAUGCCACCUGCCGCCAGUGGCGAGCCAAGAAUUUCUCCAAAGAUUUCAAUUUUGAAAAAAGUGAAAAAAAAUUCUAAUAAAAGGUGUUCAAUAUGUAUUAUAUACCUCUAAUACAUAAUAUUGUACCUAUAUAUAUAGUAUAACUUUUCGACGUGACCACCUUUUUGAUCAUGUGGCUCCGCCCAUGCCUGCAGCAGCGGCUGUAGAGAGGCAGGCUUCUGAUACAAGUGAUGGCUUUCCUCGGCUGAAAGAGGAAAAGUAGUUAGCCGGAGGUCUUUUCGAGGUGGCCAUGAGCAGCAUCCCUAUUUUGGUAAAUGAUGCCAUAUUUGACUCAGAUAUUUUUAGCCACAAUGAGAAAUUGGCAUAGAAAUAGGCAUCUACCUGAUGAAUGGGACAUGUUUUACUAUUCAUUAUCUAUAUUUUCAGGGAAUAUGGACCACUCGAUCGACAAGCACACAAGUAUUGGCUCUAAUUGCAAAAACUAUUUUUGGAAAGUGUUACCUUUCCACAUCCGUGAAUGUCCUUGUUCUCGAUUAAAAGAAGAUGUUUAUCGAUACUAAGUGUCAAAACAUGGAAAAUAUUAAGUAUUAAAAGUACUCGCUCGGUUCUAAUUUAUAUGACUCACUUUUCUUAGUAUUAGUUUGUACAAAAAAAAUGACAUAUUUUUAUAUUUAGAAAUAAUCUAACUUUAAAUUUUUUUUAUUUUAUGCAUUUUACUGUUACUGAUAAGUUAUUAUAGUCACAUAAAUGUUAUAAAAUAUUUUAAGACCAUAAGUUUCAAAUGUCUUAUCGCCACACAAAUAUAUGAUAUGUUUAAGACCACAAGUUUCAAAAAUAACAAAAAUUCUUAAAUUUCAUGCCGAGUCAAACUACAUUUUAUAAAUUAAAAUGGUAAAAACGUAUCUGCGUUAAGUGUUUAUACCCACUUUAGUUAAAUUGACCAUGUAUAGAAGAAAAACUAAGGUCUACUAGCUAGGUGCCUUUUUAAAAUAAAAAAAAAAAUGAAAAGGAAGUGAAGUUAUAAUAGCAUAACGUUAGAAAAAUUGAGCUUGCUGUAACAUUCCUCGUUUUUUUUAUUACUUGCCGCUGGUCUUCUUAAUUUUGAAGUUCUGUGUCAUUCUAUCUUCACUAAUUUAAUGCUUCCAUGAGUUGUCAAAGCAUUUGUCAGUUAUAUUCAGACACAUCUAAAUACAUACUGACGAAACUUAAGAUAGAUAAUUUACACUAAGUAAUGGUGGUCAUCUAUGAUGUGAAGCCGUAAUUCUAGUCUCAAAAAUGGGUGAGCCGAGGGAGGUUGGCGCAAUAAAAAGAGAUAAUAGCAAAAGGGAGUGCAACAGGGGAAAACUUUGAUAUCGUCAGCAGAUAAAAAGUUCCGUGUCCAAAAUGGCCAGUGAUGACCUUUGCGAUGUGGUUAGUGUCAAAGAAAUUUUAAUCUACUUGAUGCUAGGUUAAGAACAUGAUGGAGAAUAACAAGAAAUUUAGCAUUUUUUAUAUUAAUUAUUAUUUAAGAUCAUGUGCCAAACACAUUACAGUUAACUAUGAGUCUAUGAUUAAGUACUAAUAGUUGUAAUUAAAUAUAGCAACAUGUGUCAUUUUGGUUAUUGGCCAUGUGUAAACCCCGGUACAGAUAAGUUUUUACCAAUUAAAAAAAGGGAGAGUAUCUCAUUAUGGUUUAAAAAAAAGAAAGCAACAAACUGAUAUCCAGAAAGUAAAAGUAUGUUGUUGAAUAUUUAUCGGGACGUCGCAGAAAAUUGGAUGGCCUAAGAGGUCCAUUUAGUAAACUACUGAGAAGCAAAGUUACCAAACACAGUGAUCUCACUCACCCGCUGAGAAAGCUUUGGAAUAAAUUCACACAACUACGACAAUUGGCAAGAAAUUUCAUCAUCAUUUUUUGGGUCUUCUUCUAGAUUUUAAGGAGCUAGACAAUUACCGGGUAAAGCUUAAAAUAUUUAUUGGUAGAAUAUUUUAAAAUAAGACUUUACUAAUAUCUAAAACUUCAAUUUAUUUGAACUAUUGAAGGUAGCUCGAGUUGGACUUUCAAAAACUAUCUUCUAUUUAUAUAUAAUAGGAGAGACAAAGAAAUGUUAGGGUGGCAAGUGACAUAAUAUUAAACGGACACAUGUCAAUUUUUUGGAUAAUUCUCCAACUUUGUUGGAGUUUCAAAUUUAUUUAAUAAAAAAUGAACGAGUGUUUUUUAUUUAAGAUUAAUAUUUAUAAAUUGCAUAUUUAGGAAAAAACACCUAUUACAUUACAAAAAAUAAUAAACGAGUGUUUUUUUUCAUUUUCCCCCCUACUUCUUUGUUUAAAAUCUAUACUUGAAUUCUAUAUUAUUUAAUUAUAUUAAAUUAAAAGAUAAGAAACUCCCAUGAUCCCACGACGUUGAAAACCUAAGCGCAUAAAAAGGAUAACAACGAAAACUGCUGAGAGAUCAGUUUCUCUCUUUUCUUCUUGAGAGAAGUUUAAAACCCAUCUUAAUUCAUCAAAUGAUGACCAGAUUGAAGAACCAUAGACUGUUCUACUAUUUUCAAUGAUACGAAUGGUAGGCGAUUUGUACAAAUAAUGACCAUAUCGAAGAACCACCAACGCUGAUGGCAGAUUGCUAAAGAAGACGAUCCAAUCCGUGGUUGUAGGCACAAAAUCUGAAGUUUGUCACAUAGACAACAGGUCCUUUGUUCUCUUUUUUCAGAUUUACUUAUCUUCUUUUUUAUUUAUUGGCGAAAUUUAGUAUAUCCAAAUCAAUUUGGUGGACGAAAUUUGGUAAACCAUUUUGACUUUUUGCCAAAAAAAAAUUGAGUUAAAUGAUAAUACAAAGCUUUUUAAUGAUUGAACGAUUCAACAUAAAAAAUGAUAGGAUACGAAUGAAGGAAGGUGUUAAGCAGAGAAUCAAGGUGUUCCUCCUCGAACAUCACUUCACAAUCUAUUCGUUUGCGUGUGCUGGCAUUAAUUGUAGAAAAAGCAAUAUCUAUUGUUACAUAUGUUUUGAUAAAUAUUAUUUCAUUGAUAUAGCUAAGUGAUCGGGAAAUUUUUACAAAGUACUCAGUAUUUUCUUAUUGAAUGAUGCUCUUCAUCCGAUUUUAUGUGUUAUCUACCGUGUAUAAAAUGCUCAACGGAUUUUUUACCAUUCAGUGAUCAUAUAUUUGUUGAUUUGAUCCUCACCUGAAUCAGAAAGUUGCUAAACGCAAGUUAGUGGCCUCGAGAAUUCUCCUGGACAAAGAAAAAAUGGCCUUUGAAUUGCUACUAGGUAGGCAUUGCAUUUGCUUCAGCAUAUAUCCUGAGUAGCAGCUAAGCAGGUACUUUUUCAGUACACAUACUCAUAUAUUGGUGGUUAUAGAUAGAUUUGGAGCAUUCCUACUAUGGUAAUUCCAUUGACUAACUGUGACUCUUUAAUUUGCUACAUAAAUUAUGCAAACUUUGUUGGUUUUUAGCAUUUUCAUUUUUGACUUGUGGCAUAUAUGAUUUAUAUACAAGAUUUAGUACAUGUGUGACAAGAGGGAUACAUUUAAGUAAUGAUUAACUGCUACUUAUAGUCUCAUCUGCCUUACCUUGAAGUUUGAUGAAUAAUGGAAUCGGACUUUCUAUUUCAAUAUGCACAUAAAUUUAAACUUAUGUAUAUAAAUAAAGCAUAUGAUAUUGUUUCUCUAAUCAACUUGAUGAGCAAGAAAUAUAUUAUUUUUUAAACUCCGAUUAUUAUUGAUCUUGAAACUUUAUGUGUCCUCCUUUCUUGCAUCUUAAUUGGCUCAAUCAUUCACCAAACUUUACCUCUAAGAAUAUAUUUGAACUCUUUUGGAUACUAACUAGAAAAAACAUGAGAUAUAAGUUUACCUUUGUUGUAUGCUUUCGACUUUUUAAUAUAUUUAUCGUAUAUUAAUUUAUCUAUUUAUGGUAAUAAUGAAUUGACAGGUUCAACUUCUUAAAUUAAUACAGGAGCGAUAUGUUACACUAACAUUGCGAAUGCAAGAAGAGACUCAUGUGAAAGUCGUGUAAACAAGGUAAGAGACAAAAGAAAUUUAGAAUCAAUAGAUUUUUAGCUUUAUUUCAUAAACUUCUUCGAAUCUAUGCUUUCCGUUAUACAAUACAAGUAUUUAUACGUGAAAUUAAAUGCACUACAUUGGCAAGUACUACCAUGAAGAUCCGUGAAAUAUGAUUUCAAACAUUGCUCUUGAGCUUUCGUGUAUAAAAGCUUUAAACAUUAAACCCUCAAUAUUUUAAUAGUUGGAUUGCUGUUGGAAAUAGAACAAUUCUUAAGAUGCAACUGAUUGAUUUAAUUGCGAGGCAAAAAGAAGUAUUUCAUGCAAUCCCAAUAAUGACUGACACUCUAUGUUUAGGUAGGCAACAUCCUUUAAAUUCAGACUCGACUUCAUAUCCCAUAAACUCAAAAGAGACCAAUAUUGUACAAGCAGAGGAAAACAAAUAAUAUAAGAUGUCUUCAUUCUAAAUAAGUGAUUGAUAAUCUUUAUGCGGAAAAAAAAAAGAAAGAUGAGUUGAAUCACUAAAUUAUGAAGUGGCUUGAUAGUGCUAUAGUAAAUAAAGUUUUUUGGUCGAAAGAUAUAAUUGAACAACCGUGGAAAUAUGUGAGAAAGAGGUUGAGGCAUAAAUGGUUAUGAAAUCACCGAAUAGACAAUGGUCUAGAUUGAAUUGUGUAUGUGCAAGAAAUUUAUAAUUUUAGUGUGUAUCCAUAUGAAGAAAAGGUUUGCGUUCAUGUGUUUUCUGUAUUAGUUGUGUGUGAAUAUGAAUAUGAUACUGAAUUUGUGGAGUCUUUGAGGUCGCUCUAUGACGUUCAAAGUAAGUUGCAAAUUCAAACAACUAGAAGGAAAAUUGGCAAGCAGUUUUAUCCAAAAAAAUAUUAAACUAAUAAGAUGUCACUAUAUAAACCAACCAGUCAAACCUCAUAGCAGUUGUAAACAUGCAUUCUGUGAAGAUUUUUUUUCGGGAUUGCACAUGGCUGGUUUUUGAGGUACAAAAAUGAAGAUGAAUUAGUGGCCGUAAGAGGUUCACCAAGAUAUGUUAGGUGGUCUAGGAAGCAUCUCAAGUAAAUUUCUCUCAUUAUUAUUAUCUACUGCUUUAUUUUGAAUAGGCCGUGAAUGUAAAAUUUAAUUACUAGAUUGUAUCUUCUUGGUGUUGUAAUUUGGCAUAUUUACCUCUAAAGUAACUUUAUUGAUUUUGCUUGGAUCAUUAAGUUUUUUUUUUUUGGUAAAGUAAGAUUAAACAUCAAGUCUUUGUAUUUAGAACUAUAGCAACAUAAAGAAUAGGAAAAACUUGCGGUUAGUAUGAUCGGGGUUAAAACUUGCUUUUUUCAAAGUACAUAAAUAAGUGAAAAUGCUUUUAGAUUGCUUGUUGCCAUUAUUUUUAGCUUAUAGUGUUUUAGGAGCUUCUCUAUUUCGCAUAAAUAUUUUUCAGAAGGUCAAUUGAUAAAAAGGAAUAAUUAGCAUCAAUUUAUUUAUUAUAACAAUUUUCUUCAAAAUGACCAAUAUUGGUGAAGGCAAGUAAAGGUAAAGAAAGUAAUAUAUCUAACUUUUAUCCAAUAUUUUUAUUUAUUGGACCACCAACAUGAUCAUGAACAAUCUUUUUUUCCCAUCUUUCUGAGCAUUAUAGAAGCAAAACUAAAAAGUAUAAGUAUACAAAUUUAUUCUCAACUCUACGCCUUUCCUACUUAUAUACAAGUCCAGUUAUUAUGUAUUGUGGACAACUUUUCGAGAUACUACAAGUAACUUUGUGAAGAUUAAUAACUAUUUUUAUUUAGUUAUCGUGUGUAACUUUUUCCUUUCAAGACUCUUUUGUUUAAAACUGCUUUUGUUUUAAUAAUGUUUGUCUGUCCCGUUUAUAUCGAGUUAUUUUCUUUGUUCAACGAUAGAGACGCAGAAAACAUAAAAAUUAAAGUCGUCCUUCUCAUUGUUGGCUUAGAGGCUGAUUUUGAAGUUUAAUUUGGACAUAAGGUCGAGCAACGGAAUCUUGAGGGAACAAAUCCUUAACAAAUGGUUAUCGCCAUGCCAAACAGUACAACAUUAGAAGUGCAAAGCAAGGUUGAUGUUGGAGGUUACAUUGCUUCGGCUCAGCCAACCGGUGCCGAUGAUAUCCGAGCACUUUUAAUUGGAGAUCUGCAAUUUUGGAUGAAUGAAUAAUAUCUCUAUAUAUAGCUGAUUUGCAAAUAUUGGAAAUGUACUAAAGUUUCUGAAAUAAAUUGUUGUUGCUGAGUGUUUUAAUAUGUAAAACUAUAUCUUAGGGAGAAGAAUAGAUCUAUUAAAUUGUUGUGAGAAUAUUGUUUUCAUAUGCUUUGGAUUGAUCUUCUAUUGAGGGUAAUGCAGGUUUACCUGAGGUAAAUGAAUAUUACUCAUUGGUGUUUAUAUGCAUCGAUUAAUUUUAUAUGAUAAACUAAGUAUCAGUAACAUCCCUCUAUAUUAUCUCGAUUGACAACUUUGAAAAAUUUGCCAAAAUAAUUUAUCCGUUAAAAUCUUUUAUUUUCCAUAAAUUUUCUAAAUUACAGUCCUUCCUUUGUACUCAAAACUGCACAGGCCAGCUAGCAUGACUAUUUUUGCAAGAUUUUCUUCACAAUAUGAAGAAUGCAUGUAGCUUUAGGUUAAUUUAAUUUAUAUAAAUGUAAAUUUCAUUGCUUCCAACAUGCAAAGUAAAGUAGUUUAAAAUGCAGUAUAGUAUAAUUAGGGCUGCAAGAAACAGUUUCUUAGAAGCUCUAACAAUAGAGCAGUGAAAAUAACAAUAUUGGUAAGAUAAGAAUUUUGUGAAAUUACUUCUAUUUAAUAUUUUCCGCGCAUCGGGUAGGUAUACUAGUUGUAUAUAAUGAAUGCACUGCAUUGUUAAUUUAUAAACGGCACUUUUGUAAGAAGAAGAAAACAGAAACACCCAAUAUUCAACCAUAAAUGUUUAUAUAUAUAUACACGUAUUUCCUCCGCAUAGAUAGUUCUGGACAAAAAGGUGGCCAAAGGGGAAAGUUGGCAAGAUUCAUUGUUGAGACAGUAGGUGUAUUUACAGGUGUACCUACUUCCUUCGAAAUCCAUAUCAACCAAAAACGCUGUGCAUACAAGUCCAUUAUGAAUAUUUAAGUCUCCUGGCAGGUCUAUCCGCCUCUUCGUCGACGGCGAAACAAAGACCUCAUCUGCCCUGCAACACGCUUGAUACUGGAUCCUGUUGUUGGUCCUAAAUUAUCUACUUCACUACAAUUCGCAGAGUUGACCACCUCUGAAUCCUGGAUAUAUAAGCUUGCAACUUCCUCACAUGAUGUUGAAGAAGGCGCAGUUACGUUUUUCCCUGUUCCAGAACUGGACACCUCCAAAACUUCAGGCACGGGCCUUGGCUUCUUUGCAGCCUGCUCUACUAAUUGUGAAGACAAUAUCUUUUCAUUUACUUUGUAAUCAUAGAUAUCAGUGGAGUUAACCUCCUUGUGGCACGAAGCAGAAAUAGUGGCUGUAGUGGGUAGGUUAUUCUCCAGACCAUUCGGAUCAUGGUUUUCAUCUUCCUCCUGAGAGUCCAAAACAAUAUAGCCUGCAAGUUCCUCUGCCGAAAUUGGUGAGUCAAAUUUUGCUGCAUCAGGAGCGGAAACCUCCUCUACUUCAGCCUUAAGCUCUUCAUCAUCUAGUGAAUAUGGAGAUCGACAUCCAUAACUUUGACAACCUGGAGUUAUCUUUUUGCUAAGAAGACUCUCUCUUCCAGGAAACAGGGUUUCUGCUUUAGAACUGCUGGAAGCAUGUGGUGCUGCAAAAAUUUCAAUGGGCUGGCUCCCUGCUUUGAUGGCUGGUGAUAUAGACAUUUGCUCCCCAAUUGCAUCUUCCUUUUAAAAAAUAAUAAGAAACAAGACAACUAAGUUAACCACUGGAGAUGUGCUCGGAUGCGAAUAUAAACUGGAUAAGAGACAGGAACAUUGUCAAGAAUGUGAUAACUUCAGGCCAAAAAGACAAGAAGAAGAAAAACCUGAACAUCAGAGUUAAACAGGAAAUAUUUGGACAAAUACAAAUACACCACUUUAGUAAGGGGGCAAGAUGAAACAAAAAAUUGAUUGCUUUGCCAAAGUAGUAGUUGCAAAGGCCCCUUUUCCUGCACCACACCAACCUUCAUCACUCAACAUGCAAAGAGAAUGGUAAGAUAACCAACAUCUGCAAACGAUGAGGGUUCUAUAAAUUAAUGCCCUUGCCACUUUCUUAGUUUUGUCGUUCACACCCUUUUCACAGAUAUUUCCCUGGAAACAAGCAAUCCCACAAAAGGGGAGCUGAUGACUAUCCAUGCAACUAUUUUGUGAAGGACUUCCAUCCAGAAUAUUGGUUGUUAUAAAAAGUCAAGCAAACUUAAGCACCAGAAUGAUAAAGAUCGAUUACCUCUAUUGGUGACAUGACAUUCCUAAAUGGAUCCAGUAGUGCCUUUUGCUCAUCAUUGUCAUAAGUGGGUGGCUUUGCAGAAUCUGGUGCUUGCAACAAAUCUCUAGAAACCACUUCUGAUACUGCAGCACUCUUCAAACCCCUAAUAAGGUUGGCUACAGGAGACAUAGUAAGAAGUUCAGCCUCAUGUGAGCUCAAGUCACCACCAGGACAUGCUUCUCUGGCAUUCCAAGUUUCCUGAGGAACAUUCUUACAAAUAUUUUCCUCCUCUAAGCAAUGUAAAGAAUAGUUGUCAUCAGAAUCAGCUGAAGAAACCUUCUGAACUCUAUUUUUUGUAAUUUCACUGAUCAAUCGUCUAAUAUGGUCACGUUUGCAAUCAACAUCUUCAGUUGAGAACCAAUCUCCUGCAAGCUGAAAAAUGGAAUAUUACAAAAAGUGCCAGUAGGACAUGAAUAACUGAAUAACUAUUCAACACAAGAAACAAUAGAAUAAACCCAGCAGCAGUCAAUGUAACUGUCAAAAUAGUUUCCCAUCGUCCCAAUAAUAUUAUUGUAGUCUUCAUAUCAAGCUAAGAAUGUUAGAUCCCCAUAGAGUUCAGUAAAAUCAUGCAAUAAUUAACUGAUAUCAUAACACCAUGAUUACAUAUAGCAAAAUGCAAGUUACAUUGAGCAUAUAUGAUCUCAAACAUUGCAUCUUUUAAGUGUUUGUGAAGAAAUAGUUCAACUUCAGGAUACUCAUUCCUAGUCCAGUCAGACAAAUUUACCAAUGACUGAAUUUAAGUCGCUCAGCUCUGCAGGACAGUCAAAAUCUAAAAAUGGAAUGAAAGACAGGAUUUACAAUAGAGCCAUGAUUAAUAUGUCUUCAACUUAUUUAAUAGGUAAGCAAUUUUUGAACCCCUUUGCCACAACAGUAGAAACUUCCCGGAUUAAUAUGUAUUCAACUUUAACUAUGAACAUGAAACCUAAUGAAAUAAUGAUUCACAGAGAUGCGAGAGAGGCAACAUGUUAACAGAUGAUAACUCGAGAAAAGAGGCAUCUUGUAGCCACAUAAUGCAACACCCUGCAUGUCUGUAGCAUUAGGCAACAAGUAAAGCACAACAAGAAAUAGAAGAAUAAAAAAAGUUCUAGAUAAUGGGGAGAAAGACAAGCACAAUGGAUCAUCAUAACUUGUAGGCUACUAGGCUCCCCUUUAUGUAAUUUCACUAAACUACAGGACAGGUAUAUUAAGAUUACCCUAAGAUUUUUUCUGGAGCUUUAUUACUCCAUACACAAUUUGAUCCUACAGAAAAAUGCCAAAAUGCAGAUAUGUAAGUUCGUAUAAUUAAAGCUGCAUGAAGCAGUUCAGCAGUAUCAACUAAAAUUGCAAAGUACCAAGGGCGUGUUUGGUACGAAGGAAAACAUUUUCCGGAAAAUGUUUUUAAAUUUUCCAAUGUUUGGUUGGCUUAAAUGUUUUGGAAAACAUUUUCCUCAUGAAAUCAUUUUCCUCCAAUUGGAGGAAAAUGUUUUCCCUAUCAAGAGAGGGAAAACAUUUUCCAAAACUCUUUUUCAACCUUCCCACCCUAUUCCCCAUCCCCACCCAACCCCCACCAACCCAUCCCCACCCCCACCCCCACCCCCACCCACUACACCCCUCACCCCACCCCCACCCUAACUACAACAACAACAACAGCCCAGUAAAGUCCCACUAAGUGGGAUCUGGGGAGGGUAGUGUGUACGCAAACCUUACCCCUACCCCGAUAGAGCAGAGAGGUUGUUUCCGAUAGACCCUCGGCAAACCCCCACCCUAACUAAAAUAAAAAUAUUCUUAAUAGUACUUUCUUUUCAUGUUAUAGAUAGAUUUUUUUUUCAUUUCAACAAAUGAAAAUUUUCUUUAUGAUAUAAAAAAGUAUUUUUUUCAUUUUAACAAAAAAAAAAGUACUUUCUUUUCAUGAUGUAGAAAAAAUAUUUUCAUUCAUUUCAACAAAAUGAUGUAGUAAAAAGUAGUUUCUUUCAUUUCAACAAAAAGAGUAUUUUCUUUUAAUGAUGUAGAAAAAGAUUUUUUUUUUUUCAUUUAACAAAAUAGUAUUUUCUUUUCAUGAUGUACAAAAAGUAUUUUCUUUUAUUUCAAUUAAAUGAGUACUUUCUUUUUCAACCAAAAAAGAGCAUUUUCUUUUUAAUUAUGGAGCAAAUUUCAACGUUGUUUUUUGCGUAAAAAGGUAAAGCCAGCGCAUUAGUUCCUUUAGGUUUGUGUGAAUUUUCAGAAGAAUAAUUAAAUUCUUAAAGAAAAUAGAGUCCUGGAAACAUUGGGUAUUUGUGGGGAGGGAGGAGGGGGGCAAGGAACCAUGUGGGCUUGGGGGAAGGGAGGUGAGGAGAGUAGCAUAAAAAAAUAUUUUCUACUUUCUAAUCAAACACUAAAAAAUAUUUUCCGGAAAAAGUUUUCCACUCACCAACCAAACAAGGGAAAAUAAGUGAUAAAACUACUCAUUUUCCAUGAAUAUUCUAGGAAAACAUUUUCCAUAGAAAACAUUUUCUUUCGUACCAAACACACCCCAAAAUUUAUCCACAUUGCAUCACUUUGGCAGCUCAAUGUGAAGCCUUGUUUGCUAGUCUGGUUCCAACUUCUCCAUAAGUGAAUUUCUCUAUCCUGAGUCCUCUGUGGAAUAUUACCAUUUCUUCUUUGUGCAUCCAGAAGAGCAUGUAGGUAAACUUGGGAGACUGCUUUUUGAACUUUUACCGUAUCAUGUACUACUAAGAUGCACUAUUCGUCAAAUUCCAAAUUCCUAUAUCCUCAAGCUCUUCCUCUCAUUCUACCCCUUAUACUACCUAAGCCUCAAGAAAAUUGUAUACAUUCCCCUUUAAUCAGCAUGCAUACCAGAAAAGAGAAAGAUAUUCUCAAUCUAUUAAGACGGACUAGUACCAAUUAAUCAAAACCCUGGAGCAGCUCUAGAAACAAAGAUAAACGAAUUAGUCACAAUAGGAAAUUUUGAGAAGUAUUUGAGAAAAGAAUUCAAUGCAUGAGGAAUAAUAGCAGGAAACCCUGAAAAGCAAGCAUUCAUAGACAAAAUGACCUUGUCGACUUAAUGAGAGAUGGCGUGGAUGAAGUGCAAAAGCUUCUCUAAAGUCCAAGAUAUCCAUCACCUAACGCCCCCAACAUAUAUAAAAUGAUAACCCCCGGUUCAAUUCAAAAGGAUAUAACAAGGACGAAACAGCUUACAAAUUUGGACGAUGUAGUUGUUUUGGAGAGGUUGAAGUUGACCGGAGCCUGCUCCAGAAAAAGUUCCACAUAAUGUAGCAGAAAAAGGCCACAAUCAAAUGAGUUUUCCUGCUGUGGCAGCUGGAAGCAAAAAAUAAAGGUGUUGGGGUGUAAGAUGUUUUACUAUAAAAGACAGUAACAAGAUAUUUGUUAUGAUUGUUUACUGCAAUUUUUAGUUUCCAAAAAUAUGUUUCAAGCAGUAUGCAUGCAUGUUGCAAUCACCAAAAUUAACUCCAAGUCUAUGAAAGAGACCAAAUAGGAAAAAGAAUCUAUACUGCAGAAAACUUUACAGUAGACAUUUGAUAAAAACCCAUUUGCAAAAGAAUGUGGUCACUGAGUAACAUUAAAAGUUGUAACUCUUCCUGUAGUACAUCAUUAGUGGGAUUCUUUCUUCUCCCUUUGGUUUAUUUAAAUGUAUUUUUCCUUAGUCAGGUGCCGACUCACUAUACUCAAUUGAAUUGUCCUCUAAAAGUAGUGGGAUUCUUUCUUCUCCCUUUGGUUUAUUUAAGUGUAUGCUUGCCUUAUUCUUUUUCCUUUUCCCCCUUUUUGUAUAAUUUGAGGAGGCAAGGGCAGUUGGAGAAGUAGAGCGGAGCAAUUCCAAUUCUAACCAAAGGGUCAAUAAAACUGUCCAAGAUACCACAAAAACCCCAAAUUUACAAGUAUUCUAGUGAUAAAUGCUUAACUUUAUAUGGUAUAACUUAUAAGUAGUGGAAGAGCUUGGUGCUCUAGCAUGCAAUUGAAAAAAGCAGAAAAAUGCUAAAUUAGUAAACAAAAAUAUGUCAGGAGUAUGCAAAGUUCUCAACUAACGACUUUGCUGGAUGAACUAAGGAUAUAAAAGGCUAAUUUCAGUUCUGCAGUGAAAAUGCAAUGGGGCAUAUCGUAGUAGAAGAAAGAGAUGAUUGCUUAUCCAAUGGUACCAAAGAUUGAGUUUAUUUUUCUCAAAUAGUACAUAAAGACAAAAUCAAUCUGCAAAACUGUAGCAUUCAGCAGGCAUGAGGAUUUGAAAUUUGAAAAAUCACAAUUCUUAAUGUAACAGAUGCAGAUUUAAAAAACCAAUUGUAUUUUCCUCCAUCAGCUGCACUUUAUAAGGCCCAAGUGCUUGCAGUGGAGAUUAAAGAAAAAAGUGCAGGCAGAUGAUUACGUUGGAGAUUUUGAAUAUGAUUCAAAAAAUAUUAAACAACUAAGUAGGUGACUUAUAAAGAGUAGUUAAAUCAAGGAUAAAGUAAUAUAAAGUACUAUCAGGUACAUUGUACUGAAAACAAGAUAUUUAUACUGAACAAAAGAAUUAUUCCACAUAAGGAAAUCGGUCUAGUUUUUUUUUCUUUUUUUUUUUUUGGAGGGGAAGUGUGUUAUACUUGGUGGCCGGGCUAGCUUGCACAUACCUCAACUGAUCCAGGGGAUAGUCUGUCUACCCCACCACAAGCACAGGUAGCCAAGGUAAUCCCAUCCACCAAGGCUUGAAUAGAUGGGCUCAACAGCAAAUCAGGGUGCUUUGUGUCGCAAUUAGCAUCUUACAAGUUGAUAGUCUCUCAUAAUCUCAAGAGUUUUAGGUUACUUACUUCUUCCCAUGUCCCAAAAUAAAUUUACUGUCCAGUCAAGAAUUAAAAGUUCUUUCCAUCGCACUUCUAAUCUGUGGUUUUGACUGUUACAAAAACUUCCCCUAUUCUAAAUAUGAAUUUUGAGUAACAAAUAUGCCUUAAUCCCAUCCUAGUCCUCUAUAUGAAUCCUUUGUAUCUCAAUGCUGUCCUUUUUUCAAAAUAAGGAUCCCUAUGAUGUAUUCAGACCUAUGUCUUUGCAAUAUUAGUACACAAUUUAUUGUUCGAGACCGUUAAGAAAAUGGACACUGGGUUUAACCCUAAAAGCUAGCCCGUGAGGUGAGGAUUGUCAAGACAAUAUAAGAAGACAACAAUCUACUCCCUCAGCAAACGUGGGACACUCUAACAACCUUGAUACGCUCAGGACUGGACAUCUGGAGUGUACUGUAGACAAUAUAACAUAGGGGACCAACAUUAAGUGAACCGAGAAUAAGAUUAGGUUUGGCUCUAAUACCAUGUUAAGAAAAUGAAUAUUGGGAUUUGGGUCUAGUCCAACCCUUAAAGCUAGCUCAUGAGAUGAGGUUUGAUCUAGGAGAAAACAAUCCAUUCCCUCAACCAAUGGAGUACAAUCUAACAAGGCAAAUUGGAGGUUCCUAUAAGAAGAUGGUCUAGAUCUCACACUUAUCCCCAGUUGAAUCGAAUGUAAGUGUAUCAACAACUAACCUUUAAUCCAACUAGCUGGUAUCAACUGUGUAGACCCUUUUGUUUCACUAUGUUCUGGUUUUAGCUAAGUUCACAUGAUUCAAUAAAAUUCAGGUACAUUCUGAGACGAGAUACAAUUUGAUUCUCGAAAUCAGAACCAAAACUAGGGUAAAUUUGAAGAAAAUAGCAUACCUUAUCAACGAAAUCAAUCCUUGACUUAUCUACAACUUGAGAAUAAAAAAGAAAAUCCACACUGUACAAGCUAUGCAUAAGUAUUCCACAAAAUUUCUCAUAAUUUAGAGAUAUUUUUAUUUUUUUGAAUUAUUUUUAGCCGUAUCCCCGCACCCGUAUCCGUAUUAGGAUCUGUAUCGCCGAAUCUUAGAAUUUACAUUUCGAAGGAUCCGACCUCUAGAUCCGCACCCGUGUCCGAGCAACUUAGGUUGUUACAGCCAAUCUACUUCUUUUGGGUAACUAAACAUUAUAUUAAUCACCAAGUAAUGAAAUUACAAAUCAAGUUUAGCUACUCCAAGAGAAAAAACAUCUCAUUUACCUUCUACCCAUAUCUACUUAAUACAUCACAAUGACAACAAUAACGACGACCCAGUAAAAUCCCAUUAGUGGGGUCUGGGGAGGAUAAUGUGUAUGUAGGCCUUACUCCUAUCCCGAGGAAAUAGAGAGGUUGUUUCCGAAAGACCCUCGGCUCAAGAAAACAAGAAGAAAUAAUAUAUAUCAGUACCAUCAACAGAAACCAAAGGAAUAAUAACAACAUAAAAGCCGGAAAAUAGAUGAAAAUAAUAGCAAUAACCAGUAAAUAGACCCGACACUAUAAAACGAAAGAGUAGUUAGAACACAACAUUAACCACUAGCAGUCUAAGAUAAAAAUCCUAUCAGACUAGCCUCACAUAGUUACGGCCCUACCCUACAACCCUAAUACUCGACCUCCACAGUUUCCCAUCAAGGGUCAUGUCCUCGAAAAUCUGAAGCCGCGUCAUGUCCUGCCUGAUCACCUCUCCCCAAUACUUCUUAGGCCGGCCCCUACCUCUUCACAAUGAAUAGUUCUUUUUUUAAGAAAACCUCUACAAAUUAUUAAUUAUCAGAAACAAAAUUAUAAUAUAUUUUAUAUUCUAUUGAAAAGUUAAACUCCCAAAUAAUACAACAUAUAUUUAUAUUACUUCUAUAACAAGUCCGACAAAAAAAUCCUUCUCAGAAGAAAAAGGGCAUAAUUUUGUUUUUGGACUUCUGGCAUUGUAAAUACGGCUUGCAGCACUCUCUUGGUGUUGCUAUAUAUACAACUGUUAACAUUUUUUUUUAAAAAGGGGGUCCUACAAAAAAUGUACUCAUGAAUGAUUAAAAUAUUAAGCUUCCUGUUAAUAAGUGAAGGAGUUUAAUAACUAAUAAGCAGGUUGCAACUAAUAAAUUUUUACUUUCCCAAAACAGUGAUUUAUUAGAGAGUCAAAUUUAGAGGUUGAAGAUGAUAAUAUAACUGUAAUUAUUAACAUAUAAACAGCAUAUAAUCAGUGUUCAUUCUAUAUGUGCAAUAAAUAGAUUUUAAAAAAGAUAGCCAUUGCUUUUGUUGACAAUAACCAAAACUUCUCCUUUUGUCGAUUAAAGGAAUACGUCUUAUUGAAGGAAAAAGCAUUUUCAAUGCACGAUAGAGAGAUCGGAAUGGAGUGAUACCUUGAGACUGAAAAAGGGCAGAUUCGAGAACUUCCUUGCAACAUCCUCUGAUACUUCCUUGUGCCUCUCUUUCCACUCUUCCAAUAAGUAACUGCACUUACAAGACAUGAAACAUUCUCUCUUUCCAUUAUAAUCAAGAAACAAUCUUAGUCGUUCAUAGUGAAACCUAAAUGAAUUUCACUAAUACAGACACACUACCUUGUAAAGAGAUCUCAUAUAUAUCAUUGUUUGCAAUAUGCUCACUUGCAUGGUGAAUGACCAAAUGCUAUCACUAGACUAUUGGUACAGAUGUACCUCAUAUAAUAUACGAACAGAGUUAAUUUAUUUUACAUGAUUGCGACUCAACCAAUAACUACUCAACCUUGUGAGUCAAAGCAACUCAAACGGAUUAUACCUUUGUAAAAGAUUCUUCAGGCCUUUGUGGCUCCCUCUGAUUGAGUCCAUGUGCAAGAUACAUGGUACCCUAGAUGAUUUCUUCAUUUCUUCCUCUCCUAAAAACUUACCUCCAGUUAUGAAGAGUCAUAAUAACUAGAAACAGAAACAGAUAAGUCAUCUGAUAUACCUCUAAAGGUAACAACCUCGCCAGGGUGACAGAUGACUAUCAAACUCCAGUGGAGACUGUCACAAGAAAAAAAAUCAUAGUGGAGAGCUGUACCAUAAAAGUUUUAACAUAUAAGAUGGCUCUAUAACAGCUUCUAACCUGAAGUUGACGGGAAUAAAAAUGUAAUCCUUUCCAAAAAGAUUAACUUUUGUAGUCCAUCUACGAACUCGCUGGAAAGCAGCUCUACCUUCACAAGCUCUAGUAGGAUCUUUGUCCAGAUCAGCAAGCUUUCUGAAGAAAAAGCUAUUGAAAAAAUGGAACCUAUCUUUCUCCUCUGGAUUGAUUUUGUUCCUAAGAUACCUGCAAUUCAUUUCAUCAAUCGAGUUUUCCUUCUUUCACAGUGUCAAGCAGUAGACAACAAGUACAGAACUUCAGAAAAAAUGAAUGAAACAUCUUUGAAAUGUUGAAAUUUGUGGUUUUACGCUUUUGAAUGUCAUUUUUUAGAUGGAUUUUUGUAUGUCUCUUUCAGAGCAAUAAUGCAAAACAGUACAAUCAUAGACCAGAAGAAAAUAUUCUGGGUAGAUCUCCAGCUUACUUUCAUAUGUAAAACGUUCGAACAAACUGUCUCUAUAUCCAUAUAUCUAUAUAUAUAUAUAAACGUUUAGUUUACACAACACUUGAGCAACAUCUGGAGAUGGUAUAAUCUAUAGAAAAUAAGGAAACCAACCGAUAGGAGUUUUGAAAUACUAUACCCUUAGAUAACGAUCUAGACACAUAUAAGGUAAUAAAAUUAUAAAAGUAACAUACAGUAUCCUCCAUAAAUAACUACCCUAGUAUUGUCAGGGUUAAUUUGUUCUCAGGCCCUGGUACUCUACAACAUGCUGAGGUGUUAUAACAAGCGAACUAUCAAACUUUAAAGAUUGAACUUUAUCUGUGUAUUGAGCCUUAAAAGAAACUCAUGUAUGCUGUGAACAGCAUGAACUGGGAUUACACAGAGGACCUGAUAUUCAUUUACAUGGAGCCUAUAUACUGCAAAUGAAGGUGGUUGACUCAUGUUGCCUGUAAGAGAUUACAAAUAUUUAUAAUCGGGAGGGAGGGAGGGAUUAUGACAGCAAUAACCAAAUCUGGUUCAGAUGCAACUACUAUGCAAUGAAAUCAUUAGGAGUCCAUCAUGCAGUAAACUUUGACCUGUCCUGAUUAAAAAGCUGAAACAAAAUGAAGAAACAUUUGACCUAAGAGUCACACAGCCACUAAAUGUUUCCUUUUAUUUGUGGUUAACAAAAGUAGAUCCUACUUCCAGAUGUUGAUAACGAACCACAUGCCAAUAUUUAUACUUACAGGAAUAACUAAGUUCACAUAAAUGAAUAACCAGAUAAAGAAAGAAAGAAAAAGGAACCAAAAAGAUUAGCUAAAUUUAAUUCCAAACCAAAUUAGCGGGGCAGUACCAAUUGAAACAGGUAAUAUAAACUCACAUAAUGUAAAAGUCGAUGAUGGUAUCAUUGAUAAAAUUCUUAGGCUGUAAUAGAUCAACAUCUCUCUUACUUAUGGAAACUGCAUCUGGAUCCCCUUCUGGAAAAAUAACUUCUUCAAAGUUAUCUCUGGAACAGUAGAUAAUGAAAUAAGAUACAAGAAUCAAACAAUGUGAAGUUACUUCAGAUACACAGAAGUUGGAGGCAUGCGUACGACAAAUCUUAAGGCGUUAAUCAGUGACCUUUACCCAAAUUUGAAGUUACUUCAACUAUCCUUUUUUUUUUUAAUUAGAUUACUGUAAAGGUUGAGUUUUUACCUUUAGAAUGCUAGAAACACAUGGCAGAAAGAAAAGUCUGAGGAAUAUAUAUCUUAAACUAGAACUUUCAAACUACUUGAACCCUUUACAUGCCAAAUUAGCUAAUUACUAGUCAUUCUUCCUGGCUCUACACCUCAUAACUGCGUCAAUCUUUUGGCAACAAAAGAGAAAUGUCGCCACAAAAAAACCUUUUAUAAUGAUUCAUAAGUCAAAGAGAAAGACAUAAGGAACUCCUCCGGUUCCCGGGACCAGUUUAAUAUAUAUAUAGAAAUAUAAGUGGGCAUACUGUUUAAAUCACCACUAGCAAUUUGAAACAAAAGCUGUUCAUUCUUUUGCGGCCAACCAAAAUUAGACCUUAGUCAACUCGGCAAAUCAGAUGUACAUUGAAAGGCGACAAGGAUAAGUAUCUCUUACUUGGGAUGAUAAUGCUUUGAAACUGAACUGCUUUUCUGCCCAAAAAAUGGACUGUAGCUCCUCGUGCAAUCAAGUCUGACAAAGGAGGCAUUGUAAUGAACUAAUGAUGAUAUUAAAAGUUCCAUCAAAGAGAGGAAAGGGAAUUAACAGUAAGAUUCUAAAAGCUACUCAAGGUAAAGUUGCUUUGGCAUAACCGGUAAAGUUGCUGCCAUGUGACCAGGAGGUCAUGGUGUUCAACCCGUGGAAACCACCUCUUGCAGGAAUGCAGGGUAAGGCUGCAUACAAUAGACCCUUGUGGUCCGUCCCUUCCCCGGUUCCCCCGCAUAGCCAUAGCGAGAGCUUAGUGCACCGGGCUACCCUUUGUUCUAAAAGCUACUGAAGGUAGAAUCAAUAACAAAUUGAUCUUCAUCAUCCAUUGGUGGUAUUAAAAUCGUCAUUUUAGUAGUUUCACUCACAUCUCCGGCAACUGAGACAGUCAAUUGGUACAGCAAGUGUGUCCUACAAGGCCAAGAGAAUAAAUCUAGAGAACUUUUUCAGACAAAUUAUCUCACAAAUUCUAGUGGGGAAAAAAACUCUUCUGCUCCCACAGUCCAUCAAAGAAGAAAACCUACUUUCUUCAUAAAAGGAAGAGCAUAAUCAUUAUACACAGAAACACUAGUCUCACAUUGAGCUUAGCCAGCUAAAUCCAGAAAACAAUGAAAGAAGUAUCUCACAGAUGUGCCUGGGGGAGGAGAGGCUGUUGACAAUAAAUACAGUAAAGGAACACAAGUAAACUUCAUUUUCCACUACCAAAACGAAAGCAAGAUCCCAAAGGACAUCUAAAAAUAAGAGAUGAACCAUCAAAUACAUUGUUCAAUGAAGAAUCUUACGAUGUAAUGUCAUUCCAUUUAUCUUUGUAUCUCACAUCCAGCAUCUUAAUUGCUUCUUGUGUUUCAGACCAAUCAGGGUGGAACAAAGCAAACUUUAACACAACAGCGCCUGUAAAUUUAGAGGUAUUCAUGUAAACAAAGAUCAAUCACUUGUAGAAUCACAGCUUUAAAAAGCUACCAAUAUUCUCCCCUAAUAAAUUACACAGAAAAAUCUACGUUUUUCAGUUUCCAACUCCAAGUCUCAUAUCCCUCCAAAAGCCAAAAACUUGACCCAUCAGACAGUUACAUGCAACAGAAUCUCCAGUACAUAUAUGACCAACAGAUAAUGAAUUUUGAAUUUGAAAAAUCUAGCAUUCUCUUCUCCAACCUAAUUCUAACAAUUACUCUACCCUAAAGACAAAGAAGUUGUUUCAUUAGAGCAUGAAGGAGGUUCUUCAGAACAAACCAGCAGGAGAGCAUGAUUUGGCUUUUUCAGUUGCAGCUUGAGACCAUGAAAUUAAUCUCAAAUGUUGGGAAUUGUAAUUUAAAAGAAGGAAAUCAUUUAUCUAACAACAUCAACCAUUACGUCGGAAAGUAUUCUAUUGAAAUGCAGAAACCUGAAUUUUCAUUGGAUUUGAGAUGCAAUUCCACAAGGGCAGUUUUAACCUAACAUUAGCAACAAAGUAAACUCGCAUGUUAGCAAGUUUCACUUACCAACCAACUCCCCCCCCCCCCCCUUCCUUCUUUUUUUGGGGGGGUGGGUGGGAAUACAAAAAUAAAGGAUGCACUAUACUCACAAUUUUGUACCACACGGAGUUAAUAGUGAGAAUAUCACAGUGUGCCCAUUCAUAUGUAAAUGGUAAGUUCAUCCACUUGGAGGAGCCCUCAAGCCUUAUGGAACUGCAUGAAAAAGUCAAAAUGGAGCUUGUAGAACACAUAUCUCCAUACUCGACACGAUCAGGUUUAACAAUCACCGAAAUUUUCUGCAAAGGAUAGCAAAAAGAAAAGUGAAGUAUAAGCAAUAGUUUUCUGCAAGCUUUGAAGAAAACUCCUAUUGUAAUCUUCACCAUCAUUUGUGUUCAAUUCACUUUCUAAAAGGAUUGACCACCAAUCGGGGAAAAUCCAUGCUCAACUCUCCUUUUCUUUCUUCUUCACCAGCUCUCGCCCCCUUCAUCACUUUAUGCUUGGCAGUAAAGGAAAAAGCACGCAGAGUGAUACAACAUCAGCAGUAUUUUAUAUUCCAACAUCAGUGUAAAUUAACUCAUAUCUAGAAUGGAACAGACAUCAUAUCCUACCUUAUUUAAUUGAUCUCAAUCACAUUAUGAGGCCUGAACAAUAUCAUGGGCGCAGAAAGAGUUCUGAUAGAGGAACGGUGUGUGUUGUAUUUAUCAAUAUACAGCUUGAAGCACAUGACCAAUAAUUUUUAAUCGUUGAUGUAUGUGAUUGAUGUAUCAUAUGAUUUACUUCACAGUUCAUGAAGGUGUUGGUUUAUGUUUAGUCAACAAUGGCAUGCCAAUUGGAAGAGUUGGUGGAAAGAGUUGGUGUGGAUGCUAGGAGGAAGCUUCCUCCUUUGAUGUCAUGGGUGACAUCAAGAAGAGGUAGUUUGAUGUCACCAAUGACAUCAAGAGGAGGUCUUUACCUCUAUAAAUAGAUGCACUCCUUCAUUUGUAGAAACCAUCCCAAAAAUAAUACAACACACUGUAGUGAGUAGAGAGUUAAAGAGAGAAAUUCGCUUAAGUGUAAUUGGGAACUCUCCCCUUCCUUUGUUAAUAUUAAAAAGGCAAUUGUUCUCUGGUGGACGUAGGAUUAUUUUGAUCUGAACCACGUUAAAUCUUAUGUUCUUUCUUUUACGUUUCCGCUAACAGUUCAUUUAUUAGUUUGUCCUACAUUAUGGCACAUGGAUCCUCCAAAACCCCCUUGUUAGAUAUGUAGUCUUGUCCCACAUUGGAAUAGGAGUAGUAUGUCCUUGUAUAGUAUAGCUAUAAAUAAGGACCUCUUGUAUUGUAUUGAACAUACAAUAUAUCAAUAUAUAUCAUAUUUUCUCCCGUGCCUUCUCACAUGGUAUCAGAGCUAUCGUAAGAGAUUUAUCGCUGUGCAUAAAUUCCAGCUAUUCUGAUAAGUGAAAUCAGUCACCGGAACCCUUUUUCCGGCGACUUUCAAAGUUGUUUUGCAUCUGCUUUGUCUCGGUCACUGUUGUUCCAAAAAAUCCAACACUACCACAAGAGUAGUCACUGUUCGGCGACCAAACCCCAGUGAAAAUCUCCGACGGUACUGUAGCUGUCCGAAGAAAAUUUUCCGGCGAAAUUACGACGUCGCGUGGGCCACCUUCCGGCCAUUUUUUGGCGACGACUCUUCAGGGCAGAUUGUUCCCCUUGCAAUUCCGAGCCUACCCAUCCAGGUUACACCAAAUUUCGACCACUUUUAUAUUUUUCCGGCGUGAAUAGUGAUUUCAAAAGUGGACUUCCAGCCAUUUUUUGAAAAAGUUCCUUCGGAACAGUUGGGUCGUCUGGUAAUUCCGAUCCUACCCCUACUGUUUUUUAUUUCAUUCCGACCACUUUGAAUUUUUUUCCGGCUGCUACAGUAAUAUUCUGAGAGCUACAGUAUUUCUGGAAUGAACAGUGUUUUCCAGCGCAGAAUAGUGUUCUGUUUUGCUGCUGUAAACAGUGUUUUCUCAGCGAUUUCUUCAGUUUUCCCAAAGGAGUUACUAAUUUUCACUAUUUCAAGUUAACCCUACUACUAUUAAUUGUAGCGACAUGGGAACCGAUGCUUCAAAUAGUCGGAUGAUUUCUUUAGUGGAUUAUUUUGANNNNNNNNNNNNNNNNNNNNNNNNNNNNNNNNNNNNNNNNNNNNNNNNNNNNNNNNNNNNNNNNNNNNNNNNNNNNNNNNNNNNNNNNNNNNNNNNNNNNNNNNNNNNNNNNNNNNNNNNNNNNNNNNNNNNNNNNNNNNNNNNNNNNNNNNNNNNNNNNNNNNNNNNNNNNNNNNNNNNNNNNNNNNNNNNNNNNNNNNNNNNNNNNNNNNNNNNNNNNNNNNNNNNNNNNNNNNNNNNNNNNNNNNNNNNNNNNNNNNNNNNNNNNNNNNNNNNNNNNNNNNNNNNNNNNNNNNNNNNNNNNNNNNNNNNNNNNNNNNNNNNNNNNNNNNNNNNNNNNNNNNNNNNNNNNNNNNNNNNNNNNNNNNNNNNNNNNNNNNNNNNNNNNNNNNNNNNNNNNNNNNNNNNNNNNNNNNNNNNNNNNNNNNNNNNNNNNNNNNNNNNNNNNNNNNNNNNNNNNNNNNNNNNNNNNNNNNNNNNNNNNNNNNNNNNNNNNNNNNNNNNNNNNNNNNNNNNNNNNNNNNNNNNNNNNNNNNNNNNNNNNNNNNNNNNNNNNNNNNNNNNNNNNNNNNNNNNNNNNNNNNNNNNNNNNNNNNNNNNNNNNNNNNNNNNNNNNNNNNNNNNNNNNNNNNNNNNNNNNNNNNNNNNNNNNNNNNNNNNNNNNNNNNNNNNNNNNNNNNNNNNNNNNNNNNNNNNNNNNNNNNNNNNNNNNNNNNNNNNNNNNNNNNNNNNNNNNNNNNNNNNNNNNNNNNNNNNNNNNNNNNNNNNNNNNNNNNNNNNNNNNNNNNNNNNNNNNNNNNNNNNNNNNNNNNNNNNNNNNNNNNNNNNNNNNNNNNNNNNNNNNNNNNNNNNNNNNNNNNNNNNNNNNNNNNNNNNNNNNNNNNNNNNNNNNNNNNNNNNNNNNNNNNNNNNNNNNNNNNNNNNNNNNNNNNNNNNNNNNNNNNNNNNNNNNNNNNNNNNNNNNNNNNNNNNNNNNNNNNNNNNNNNNNNNNNNNNNNNNNNNNNNNNNNNNNNNNNNNNNNNNNNNNNNNNNNNNNNNNNNCUCUACAUCUCCAGCUCCACCACCUAUAGCUCCCGUUCCACCAUCUAUAGCUCCAGUUCCACCACCUAUAGGUCCAAUUCCUCCACAUAAUCUAGUUCAACCUUUUGCAGCAACGCCACUCUUGACUUAUCAUCGCCGUCCACAUCCAGCAUCAGGCCCAGGUGAUUCACGUCCUGCAUCAGAUUCAGCACCUACUGCGGACUUGUCUCCUCUUAGUCAACCAAUUGCACUCCGCAAAGGUGUACGGUCCACACUUAAUCCUAAUCCCCACUAUGUUGGUCUAAGUUAUCAUCGCCUGUCGUCACCUCAUUAUGCUUUAUAUCUUUUUUGUCCACUGUUUCUAUUCAUAAGUCUACAGGUGAGGCACUAUCUCAUCCUGGAUGGCGACAGGCUGUGAUUGACGAGAUGUCUGCUUUACAUGCAAGUGGCACUUAGGAGCUUGUUCCUCUUCCUGCAGGUAAGCCUACUGUUGGUUGUCGUUGGGUUUAUGCAGUCAAAGUCGGCCCAGAUGGCCAGGUUGAUCGGUUUAAGGCUCGUCUUGUUACAAAAGGAUAUACUCAGAUUUUUGGGCUUGAUUAUAGUGAUACUUUCUCUCCUGUGGCUAAAGUAGCAUUUGUUCGUCUUUUCUUAUACAUGGCUGUUGUACGUCAUUGGCCUCUUUAUCAGUUAGACAUUAAGAAUGUUUUUCUGCAUGGUGAUCUUGACGAGGAAGUUUAUAUGGAGCAACCACCUGGUUUUGUUGCUCAGGGGGGAGUUUAGUGGUUGUGUAUGCAGAUUGCGCAGGUCACUAUAUGGUUUGAAAUAGUCCCCUCAACCCUGGUUUGGUAAGUUCAGCACAAUUAUUCGGGAGUUCGGCAUGACUCGUAGUGAUGUUGAUCACUCUGUGUUUUAUCAGCAUUCUGCUCCGAAUCUAUGUAUUUAUCUGGUGGUUUAUGUUGAUGAUAUUUUUAUUACUGGCAACGAUCAGGAUGGUAUUACUAAUGUGAAGCAACAUCUCUUUCAGCACUUCCAAACUAAGGAUCUGGGCAGACUGAAGUAUUUUCUAGGUAUUGAGGUCGCUCAGUCUAGCUCAGGUAUUUUUAUUUCACAGCGGAAGUAUGCCUUAGACAUUCUUGAGGAGACUAGAAUGAUGGGUUGCAGACCUAUUGACUUUCCUAUGGAUUCGAAUGCCAAGCUUCUGCCUGGACAAGGGGAGCCUCUUAGAGACCCUACGANNNNNNNNNNNNNNNNNNNNNNNNNNNNNNNNNNNNNNNNNNNNNNNNNNNNNNNNNNNNNNNNNNNNNNNNNNNNNNNNNNNNNNNNNNNNNNNNNNNNNNNNNNNNNNNNNNNNNNNNNNNNNNNNNNNNNNNNNNNNNNNNNNNNNNNNNNNNNNNNNNNNNNNNNNNNNNNNNNNNNNNNNNNNNNNNNNNNNNNNNNNNNNNNNNNNNNNNNNNNNNNNNNNNNNNNNNNNNNNNNNNNNNNNNNNNNNNNNNNNNNNNNNNNNNNNNNNNNNNNNNNNNNNNNNNNNNNNNNNNNNNNNNNNNNNNNNNNNNNNNNNNNNNNNNNNNNNNNNNNNNNNNNNNNNNNNNNNNNNNNNNNNNNNNNNNNNNNNNNNNNNNNNNNNNNNNNNNNNNNNNNNNNNNNNNNNNNNNNNNNNNNNNNNNNNNNNNNNNNNNNNNNNNNNNNNNNNNNNNNNNNNNNNNNNNNNNNNNNNNNNNNNNNNNNNNNNNNNNNNNNNNNNNNNNNNNNNNNNNNNNNNNNNNNNNNNNNNNNNNNNNNNNNNNNNNNNNNNNNNNNNNNNNNNNNNNNNNNNNNNNNNNNNNNNNNNNNNNNNNNNNNNNNNNNNNNNNNNNNNNNNNNNNNNNNNNNNNNNNNNNNNNNNNNNNNNNNNNNNNNNNNNNNNNNNNNNNNNNNNNNNNNNNNNNNNNNNNNNNNNNNNNNNNNNNNNNNNNNNNNNNNNNNNNNNNNNNNNNNNNNNNNNNNNNNNNNNNNNNNNNNNNNNNNNNNNNNNNNNNNNNNNNNNNNNNNNNNNNNNNNNNNNNNNNNNNNNNNNNNNNNNNNNNNNNNNNNNNNNNNNNNNNNNNNNNNNNNNNNNNNNNNNNNNNNNNNNNNNNNNNNNNNNNNNNNNNNNNNNNNNNNNNNNNNNNNNNNNNNNNNNNNNNNNNNNNNNNNNNNNNNNNNNNNNNNNNNNNNNNNNNNNNNNNNNNNNNNNNNNNNNNNNNNNNNNNNNNNNNNNNNNNNNNNNNNNNNNNNNNNNNNNNNNNNNNNNNNNNNNNNNNNNNNNNNNNNNNNNNNNNNNNNNNNNNNNNNNNNNNNNNNNNNNNNNNNNNNNNNNNNNNNNNNNNNNNNNNNNNNNNNNNNNNNNNNNNNNNNNNNNNNNNNNNNNNNNNNNNNNNNNNNNNNNNNNNNNNNNNNNNNNNNNNNNNNNNNNNNNNNNNNNNNNNNNNNNNNNNNNNNNNNNNNNNNNNNNNNNNNNNNNNNNNNNNNNNNNNNNNNNNNNNNNNNNNNNNNNNNNNNNNNNNNNNNNNNNNNNNNNNNNNNNNNNNNNNNNNNNNNNNNNNNNNNNNNNNNNNNNNNNNNNNNNNNNNAUGCACCGGCUUGAGGGGGAGUGUUAGAUAUGUAGUCUUAGCCCACAUUGGAACAGUAGUAUGUCCUUGUAUAGUAUAGCUAUAAAUAAGGAUCUCUUGUAUUGUAUUGAACAUACAAUAUAUCAAUAUAUAUCAUAUUUUCUCCCAUGCGUUCUCACACCCUAUUGCAGCCAUGUGGAUUCAACAUGAUUUCUGUGUGGGUGUCAUGCCCAAUGGAUUUGGUCAAUACAUUUAGGGGUCGUUUGGUUCACAUAUUAGUUAUGCGGGGAUUGUGUUGAUUAGCAUGAUUCAAGCAGACUUGAUUUAGGAGUGUUGAUUAGCAUGAUUUCAGGAGAUUUGAUUAUAUUUAGGAGAUCUGAUUUUAUUCUGAUUUUAUUUGAUAGCUGGAUUGAUUGUAUAAAUUGAUUUUAUUUCCUUAAUUAGCAUUAGGAGCUUUGUAUAAAUUCCUUUGCUCAUGGGAUGUAAACAUACACAGAAAUACAAGAAGCCUUUUCUUCUUCUCAAAAUCUACAUGGAAUCAAAGUCAUUGUUACCUUUCUGAGGUGAGUUAACUCCCUCACAGCACUAGGGUUCCUCUUUUAUCAAAGAGAUCAAGUUUUCUCUCUCUGUUGGUUGUCCGUAACACAAACUCCUUCUGAUUUCCUUCUUAUUGGUCUGAAAUACGGAGACAUUCAAGGAGACAGUUUUUGGAGAAAUCUUAUCUUCGGAUGAAAUUCAGCUUUUCCGUCGCCUCCUAGCCAAACUUGACUCUGUUAAUGUUGCCACAUCCAAAUCAUGUGCCAUCAGGUACUGCCUUUGCUGAUAACCUUAAUUCUUGGAUUGUCGAUUCUGGUGCAAAUAGACACAUGACAGACUCUUCUAAAGGCAUUCAAAACUAUUCUCCGUCUCCCAAAGGAGAUAAUGUUAAAAUAGCCAAUGGUUCUUUAACACCUAUCUCUGAAACAGGUUCUGUCAUUUGUACUCCUAAUAUUAAACUAUCAUUCGUGCUCCAUGUCCCCGAGUUCCCUAUCAAUCUUUCACUUGUUAGUGCCAUUACCAAAGCUCUAUAAAAUCGAGUUCUUUCCCGAUCAUUGUAUUUUUCAGGAUCUUCAAACAGGGAAAAGGAUUGGCAGUGGUAGAUUGCGUGAUGACUUGUACAUAUUAUAUGGAAUUCAUAACUCUGGUCAAGCCUUUUUUAGGGAAAGUAAGGAUGUCAACCAAAAAAUAAUACAACAGCAUAGACGGUUAGGACACCCAUCAUUCUUUGUUUUGAAGAAGUUAUAUUACGAUUUGUUUUCAAGGAUUCGAUUUGAAUCUUUGUUCUGCGAUGCGUGUGAAUAUGCCAAACAUACUAGAAACUCUUAUCCUGUGAGUGAUAAUAAAAGCACAACUCCAUUUAUUACUAUUCAUUCUGAUGUAUGGGGUCCUACCCAAACUGCUUCUUUGUCUGGUAGUCGAUAGUUUGUUACUUUCAUUGCUGCACUAGGAUGACUUGGGUAUAUUUGUUAAAAGCCAAAAGUGAAGUUUUCUCUUGUUUUCAGUCAUUUCAUAAGAUGAUUUGUACUCAGUUUGAUGCCAAAAUAAAAAUCAUGAGAACUGACAAUGGCAGCGAAUACAUGGAUAAAAGAUUUGGUGCUUAUUUGGAGUCCAAUGGGAUAGUCCAUCAAGACUAGUUGUCCUUACACUAGUGCACAAAAUGGGGUUGCUGAAAGAAAAAAUAGGCAUCCGUUAGAAGUAGCAAGAUCUCUUAUGUUCACCAUGCAUCUACCAAAACAUUACUGGGGGAUGCUAUUCUAGCGGCUGCCUAUCUUAUCAACAGAAUGCCACUUAAACCCCUCAAUUUUCAAAGUCCUCUGGAAACUUUAAAGGGUAAGAAUGAAUAUAUUGCUCCUCCAAAGGUGUUUGGGCGUGUUUGCUUUGGCCACACUAGAAAUUCCGGAAAACUUAAUCCUAGAGCUAUAAAGUGUGUUUUCAUUAGGUAUUCUCCGACAUACAAAGGUUACAAAUGUUAUCAUCCUCCCUCUAAGAGAUCUUUUGUUAGCAUGGAUGUUAACUUUCGAGAAUCUGAGCCCUAUUUCAGUAUUACCUCAUCACCUCUUCCGGGGGAGAGCAGUAAGGAGGAAGAGGUGAUUCUACCUAGUUCCAUGACUGGACAUUUUGAUGACAUUGUCACAGGGAAAAGUGAAAUUGGAGAAAGAAUUCAGGGGGAGACUAUUUGGCGUUUGGAUAGGCCUAAUUUGAAAACUUACUCAAGGAAAAAAAGAGCAAAAGAAGCCAUCAUGCAAUCUACCGAAGUUGAACCUUCUUCUACUGGUGAGUUAUCUACAUUUCCUAAUGAGUUAGAUGAACCUAUUGCUCUCAGAAAAGGAGUCAGAUCUUGCACCACCAAACACCCUUAAUCUAAUUUUGUCUCCUUCCUAUAGAGCCUUUACCUUGUCUAUUUCUUCUGUGUCUAUUCCCCAGAAUUGGAGGGAAGCUUUUGCAGAUCCUAAAUGGAAGCAAGCUAUAAUUGAAGAAAUGAAAACCUUGUCAAAAAAUGAGACAUGGGAACUUGUCACUUCACCACCAGACAAGAAGUUGGUUGGUUGCAAAUGGGUCUUUACUGUGAAGUACAAAGUUGAUAGUAAUUGAAAGAUUCAAAGAAAAAUUGGUGGCUAAGGGAUUCACUCAGACUUAUGGAGUGGAUCAUCAAGAAACAUUUGCCCCUGUUGCUAAGAUGAACACUAUUAGAACUUUUAUCUUGUACAGCUAAUCUUGAUUGGGACUUACAACAGUUUGAUGUGAAGAAUGUAUUUCUUCGUAGAAACUUAGAAGAAAAGGUGUAUAUGGAGAUUCUUCCUGGAUUUGAUACUGCACAGAGUCAAGUAAAGAUAUGCAGAUUGAAGAAAGCCUUAUACGGACUGAAGCAAUCCCCCAGAGCUUGGUUUGACAGAUUCAGCAAAGCAAUGAUCUCCUUUGGUUACCAACAAAGCAAUGAUGAUCACAUCUCGUCAUAAGACAUCAAACGGGUAAACUCACUCUUCUCAUAGUUUAUAUUGAUGACAUAGUAAUGACAGGAGAUGACAAAAAAGGGAUAUCUCGAUUGAAGAAGUUGUUGGCAUAUGAAUUUGAGAUCAAAGAUCUAGGAAAAUUGCAGUACUUCUUGGGAAUUGAGGCUGCUAGAUCCAAAAGAGGAAUCUUUAUUUCUCAAAGGAAGUAUAUUCUGGAUCUUUUGAAAGAAACCGGUAUGACAGGUUGCAGACCCGCAGAAUCGCCCAUUGAAAGCAAUCACAAGUUACAAAGCGGAGUUGGAGAAUCAAUUGAUAAAGAGAGAUGUCAGAGGCUGGUUGGAAGACUCAUUUAUCUCUCCCACAAUAGACCAAACAUAGCCUAUUCAGUUAGCCUGGUGAGUCAGUUCAUGCAUGAUCCCCGAGAUCCUCAUAUGCAAGCUGCCUUUCACAUUUUGUGUUAUAUGAAGUCAGCUCCAGGGAAAGGUCAACUUUUCUCCAAACAUGAUCACCUCCAAACAGAAGCUUUUACAGACGCGGAUUGGGCUGGAUCUCUAGAUGACAGAAGAUCAACAUUCGGUUACUGUACGCUCGCAGGAGGAAACUUGGUUACUUGGAGAAGCAAGAAGCAAAGUAUAGUUGCUAGAUCAAGUGCGGAGGCAGAAUAUAGAGCUAUGGCCCAGGGUGUUUGCGAAUUGCUUUGGCUACAAAAGCUACUACAUGAAUUGAGACUGUAUGAAAAAGAAAAACUUUCCUUGUACUGUGACAAUAAAGUUGCCAUCAGUAUAGAUCAUAAUCUAGUCCAGCAUGACCGAUAAAAGCAUGUGGAAAUUGAUCGACACUUCAUCAAAGAAAAAGUUCCAACUGGUGUCUUGAGUUUGUUUCAUGUGCCAUCGGAAAAACAGCUAGCUGAUGUGUUUACCAAAGGUCCCAACAAGCGAACUUUCCAUACUUUGAGUUGCAAGUUGGGCAUGUGCGACAUCUUUGCACCAACUUGAGGGGGAGUGUUGAUUAGCAUGAUUCAAGGAAACUUGAUUUAGGAGUGUUGAUUAGCAUGAUUUCAGGAGAUUUGAUUAUAUUUAGGAGAUAUAAUUUUAUUUGAUUUGAUUUGAUAGCCGGAUAGAUUGUAUAAAUUUAUUUUAUUUCCUUAAUUAGCAUUAGGAGCUUUGUAUAAAUUCCCUUGCUCAUGGGAAGUAAACAUACACAGAAAUACAAGAAGCAUUUUCUUCUUCUCAAAAUCUACAGAUUGUUUAUGAGGUGAUUAAUAAUGAAGAGAUUUUAUGCAUGAACUACUUACACAAAAGGGCAUUUUUGUUUCUAGAUAUUUAAUACUUGCAUUGCUAAUGCAAGUAUUCUUAUUCCACAUUUUUAUCCCGCAUAACUUAAUGCGGGUAUUAUUUAUAAUCACCAACCAAACGAUGCAUUAGUUAUGCAGGGAUUAUUUUAUUCAUAUGCUACCAACCAAGCAUUCCAUUAUUUUAAGCAGGACUUUGUGCGGAGAUAAUUAUUGCUAAACCAUCAGCAAAAUGAUAUGUUAGGGUGUGUUAACUACAACUAUGGUAGAGAAGCAUAUUUCAAAUUGAUGGAUCUAUACGAGCGCGUGCACUUGCAGACACACAAAGUAUCAGAAACUUUGAUAUCAUAGGAGAUAUACUUAUGGAACAAAAUGUUGAAUUUACUGAUACGUACUUGGUAUGUAUUUAUUGGCAGCAUCCAGCACCCAUACCUGCAAUACUAAAUGUAUCGCCGAAUCCUAAGAUUUAGGUGACAACAAAUCCGACUCCUAGAUCCUCACUCAUAUCAGAUAACCACCCUCGUUUCCGUGGAACAAAAGUCCUACAUAUAUACUGUUUUCAUAUGAAAUUUUUUACUUUUGAUUUAUCCAUGGUUGUUUAACAAAACCUAUUUGCUUUCUUAUAUAUUUUAAGAUUAAUGACGUGCUCAGAUCCCUUAUGCAUGCCGCUUUGCAGUCAAUAUGGAAGUUCAGCCAUGAAAUAUUGCUGAAUGAAAGAAGAAGAAACGUAGAGAAGCUGCAUCUUGGACUAGCAAGUUGAGUAAGCUGCCAGCUAUGUUAUCACCACUAAUAGUUCAUGAAACCGUCUUGCAUAAGAGUUACAGAAGAAGCUAGCAUUUUAUCUCAACUGUGCAGCUUAUGGGGGAGCAAUCAUUAUAAGGUGGCUUGAUUUUGGAACCUAAAACUAAACAGGAAGUUAAGACGAAACAGAACUUAGAAAGAUUAGGUUUUCUGCCUCUACACCACUAACUAAGAAAAGCUGGUCUGGAGAGAAAAGUUAAGUUUGUAUUGGAAAAGUUGUUGCUUUAAUUACUCGAUUUUGCAUUUCCAAGGGCAGUUAUUAUCAUUAUUAUUAUUAUUAUUAUUAUUAUUAUUAUUAUUAUUAUUAUUAUUAUUAUUACUAUUACUAUUAUUAUUAUUAUAUUAUUAUUAUUAUAUUAUUAUUAUUAUUAAAGUACAGUUAACCUAAAGUUUAGCAGCUACACCAGAGAAAUUGUGAACAACACAUCAGCUGGAAAAAGGAUUUAUAGUCAAUGAACCAUCUUUUAGAAAAAUUACUUUUAGAUGCUCAAAGUUAUGAUGGAGUAAACAAAGCACAGAGGCUUGCUCUAUCAGAUACAAGAAUGAAUAUCAUUUUACUUCUGAAGACUACAAGAGGCAUGCUCACUUUAUCACAUAGAUUAGGACUUUGCAUCAACUCUUGCUGGUUUCCUGAACCUAAAAUGAUUAAAAACAGAACAUCUUCAUAAGUAAAUAAGUGGCUUUAUAUGAGCAACCGUUGAAAAUAUGAAAUGAUAAUUUAAACAAACCCUUAUUUUCUGGCAGAUAACAGGCUGGCUUGGAUGAUUCGAUUUCAGUAGCAUCAUCUGAAUCUAGAAUAACUGGCUCAUUCUGCAGAAGUUUUGGAUGGUAUAGUCAUUAAGCAUUCGUUAGAAGUAUGUAAAGUUUGAAACAUGAGAAAUUGAGAAAUAUGGGUACAUCAGCAAAAAGUGUUCCCCUAAAACUUUUGCCAUCAGUGACAGAGCAUCCAGGUAUUUUCGCUCUUGUUAAACGGGAUUUGGCCCCGGAAGUGUCACAUUUUGACUCAAGAUGACCAAGAGAAUAAUCCGUUGAAGGCUUCAAACUUGAAAAGCUAGAUGUCACAGUGGCACCUGACUCCAAUAUCUUCUUUUCUGCAAUAUCAUCACUAUCAUCAAUGUGUAGGAUUUCACUCACGGAAUCAUUUUCUGAACUCCUUGUUCUUCCUUCAACUAAGGAAAAUUUGUUAAAUAGAAUAUCAGCACUUCUAUAGUUAAAAGAAAAAAAAAAGAUAAACUAAAAGCCUGCUGGACAAAAACAGGGCAAAAGUUUAGCAAUGAAAAAAAAAUACCGAAAGGAAUCUGCAAACAGAAAUAGAUGUCACCUAGUUUAAGCCAAAUAUUUUCACAGAUCUUAUAGAUAUGUCAUUCAUCUUCAACAAAUUCAAAACCAAAAGCAUGUACAAUUUUAAGAAGAUGGCUUCCUUUAGUUAAUCCAUGUGGGAUGAAUGCAAAAGCAUUAUAUAUGUUUCAUGGAGAUGUAUCAAUUUAAUUGAAUCCAUAAACACUAUUAUUGUAUACUUUGAGCAAAAUCUGAUAAGAAGAAACUGCAAGAAUAAGUUACACCACAAAACUUCUGUUUCUCAAUUCCUAGAUAUAUGCAUCAACUUAUUCUCGUCGUUGAUACUUCCGCUCAAUGUGUCCGUCAUCCCCCAUGUAGUAGUGCAAGGAUCAUGCUCAACCGAAGUACAUUCUCAGUCUCCGUCCAUUACCUUCAACCCUAUGUUCAUCACUUUUAUUCCCUUUUUUUACACAAUCGUAUUGUUAUCUUUCAACUUUUAUAUUUUCCCCCUCUUCUGAAAUUAGACACAACUCAGAAGUUGCACUUUUACUUCCUGCGGUAGAAUGAUAAACCAAAACCAUCAGAUGUAUUAUGGUUCCAUUAUGUCUUUUUUCUUCCUAUUCCAAUACUUCAUGUUUCGAGUGUCAAGAUCAAUUUGAAAUAAAACAAUGUUUUGCACUAGUAUAAUACAAGAGCAACAAAGAAAAAUAACUACAUUAUGUUCAAUCAAAGAUUGUACGCUGGAAACAAAAAUUAGGGUUUUGCAGAAACGUACAGAAACCGAGAAAGGUGUACUUAUCAAUCGGGGAAUGGAUUUUUUUAGGUUUUUGAAUUUUAAAUGCUUGCAAUAACUUUUUGGAGUGUUUCUCAACGCGCUCAUCGUCAGGGUUAAACUCGAAAAUGGAGAAUUUGUGAUUGCUAGGGCUUUGGCUGUUGCUGCUACUCGUCUUCUUCUUUCGGCUAUUCCUCUUUGUCAUUGUGGAUGAUCGUACCUUUUGCGCUGCCUCAACGGUGCCUUUGCCCACUUUCCACGCCAAAGAUUUUGCCUCUCUUUUGUCCCAAUUUAAAUGAAACUUACAAUUUUACAUUUGAAAAAGUUGCAAAAGAUUCCAAUUAAUAGUUGUAACUCAAUUCUAAUUAAAUACAGUUGCAUAAAGUGAAAAGAAAAUAUAAAAGAUGACACAUUUUUCCAAUUUUAUAGUACCGAGAUCAACAAUGAAUCUUCAAAAUUCGUUGCAUAACCCAAAAUUCUAUCUAAGUUGGAGAUGAGAGGCUUACGUGUAAGCCAAUGUUUAGAUUUUUAAUGGUGGUGGGCAUUACUUUGAAUUACACAGAGAUAAAGAUAAUAAUUUAUAUGUUACGAGUAGUGUGCAAGCUCACUUGGAUACUAUUAAAACAAUACUUUAGAAAUAACUAUAUAUUUUAAAGUGGAUUGUGGCUCUUAAAGUACAUAAUUUCACAAAAACACCUUUGGAGGUGUUGGCCAUAUUGCGGACAUCCGACAUCCUUUGGGACCUUCAAUUUUAUACUCCCUUUGUCCCAAUUUAUGUGAUCGAAUUCGAGAGUGAAAAUAGAAAUUCAAGUUCCGCCAUCAUCCUUGACCAAAGGAAAAAUUAUUAAAUCCUUACAACGUUAUAAAUGAAUCAGUACAACAGUAAGCAUAAACUAAUAACGGAAAGGAUUUGUAGAAACUAUUCUAAGCCUUUCCAAAAGUUGAGAAAGCAAUUACUGCAAGAUCACCUAACACAUAUACAGCAAGUGCUUCCGUCCAAUAGUCUGUUUUAGGAAUCAACUAGGGAGUUUUACUGAAUGUAAGACAGAAUUGACAUCUACUGACUUAUACUUGCAGCAUAAUGAUGUGGAUACAAUAAGC